GCUUAGAAACACAAGCUUUCACUAGCCUUCAUAUCUCUCUCUUGGUCUCGAUCUCGAUCUUGUGCAACUAGAUAUUAUUGUACCUCGCAUUAAUUUGGCAUUCCUCAGCAUGGAGUCCGCUAACAUCAAUCCUGUGGCUUCUGAGAUGAACCAAAACCAACCAAAAUGGCAAGGGCAAGCUUGUGCGGACUUGGCAGGUCCAAAGGCGGACCAAAUAUGGCCCUUCUUGGAGGACUUCUUCGGCCUUGACAAGUGGUUCCCAACCCUCGCCACCUGCACCCCCGUCGAGGGCGUCUCGGGCCAGCCUGGGUGCGUCCGCUACUGCGCCGGGUUCAGAACCCCAGUCGACCAGGAACGGGACAUCGGUGGCGGCACUGAGGCAGCAGCAACCCUGAACUGGACGAAGCAGAAGCUGCUGUCAAUUGACCCGGCCGAGAAGAUGUUCAGCUAUAGCAUCGUCGACAGCAAUGUCGGGUUCAACUCCUACGUCUCCACGGUCCGAGUCAUGCCUAAGGAAGACGGUUGUCGAAUGGUGUGGGACUAUGAGGUCGAGCCUGUGAGCGGCUGGAAACCCGAGGACCUGGACCAGUUCAUUGGGUCGGGCUUGCGGGUCAUGGCCGAGAGGAUGAAGGAGGCUCUUCUUGGUCAAGCAAACCGAUCGGAUUCCGGAACUGAUCUCAUCUGAAUCCGAUGAUUUUGCUUUUGUGCUCGUGUGUGAUAGUCUUGAAGCUUUGUGAUGCGGUGGGCAAUAGUAGUGAAAGUCUGGGCAAUAGCACGUAUUAGCUCUCUAAUUGCUUUCCAAUAAUUUGAAAGUUUGGUCAUUAUUCCCGUUCCCAUUGGAAUUAGAGCACCAUUUCAUAUGUCCAAAUUCACUUAUAUAUGUACUUGAGCUAAUUUCAGAUUGCCUUUUACUGUAUGUAACCAUAUCGUGAUUCAUCUUGAUCCGAUGAAGGAAUUUUGGCCGACUCUCAAAUACAAUGGGGUCAUGAACUGAAUUCAUAUCCGCACACUAACUUAGACCAAUACGAUAUGAAAAGUCGAUUUUUCCGUGUCACCUUUUAUUACCUUCUAUUAAAGAAAAAGAUGUAUCGCCUCUCUGCUGAUUGUUUGAACAAAGACACAUAAAAAAGAUGCCUGUGUGAGGCAAUAUAUAAGUAUGGAAGUCUUCAAACUUUGCAAAUAAUAUCCUUUUGAAACAGUAUGUUUUGUUCACAAAAGGGUUUCGCUUUUAUAUAUUCAAUGUUUCUGGUUUAAUAUAUUUCAUUUUCAAUUUUCUUCUCUUUCUAGAAAAGAUACAACGUUUAUUCUCAAAUUGUUUCCUUUCCAGAGUUCUUGUAGAAGUUUUAGAAUUGCUCUGUGACAUUUUCAGUUUGAAACUUAGUUGUAUCCUGUAGAAUUUUGCUAAUAAUCAUUAGCGAUCUUGUGGGAAAAAUAAUUCCUUAAAGGCAAAAUAUUCACACCUCAAAGUUUCGUUCCAUUUUUCCUAAUUUUUUUUUAACACCCUCUUCUCCUAGAACUCUAGAUUUUCUUUUUUAGGAGAAAUAUCUAAAUGUUUUUUCAUAAAAUAUUUUAUGAAGAGUGUAGAAAUGAGUGGUUAAUAAAUUAGCCACAUCUAGUAUUUUUUAGAAUUACAUAGGAAGAUAUUUUUAAGGAAGACCACCUGCUUAUAAAUAGCCAAAUACUUCCAUCAGUGGAAGUGAGCUUGGCUCCCACAAGCGAGUGCGUAAGAGUGUACUUCGCUCUCAUAAGUGUGCGUAAGAACUUCUUACGACCGACAGUUUAAGAAAGCAUCUUGAAUAAUUAAAUGAGUAUUUUUUUUUUUCGCUCUCAUAAGUGGAGAAAAGGUACAAGUUUUGGAUUCAAAUAUACGAAGAUGAAAGUUUUAGGAUCGAAAUUACGAAUCGAUAAGUUUUGAGACUUGAAAUGACGAUUAUCCCAAUUAAUGAGCAUGCUAAGCAAGAGACCUAAAAAAUAUUUCACCAGUUUGCAUUAGAAGUUCACGUGAAAAGUUGUAAUAACGAUAGAGGAUUCCAUGUAAGCGAAUUGCAGGACAUUGCAUGGAUCUUUUGAAUCCAUAACAGCGUAUGAUGACGCAAUCAUACGCAAUCAUACAAGCCCUUAGCGAUAAUUAGCAACAAACAUUCCAAGAAAACACUUUUCUCAAAACUCGUUGAAUUUUAAACACAAAUACGAGUAAAUGCUUGAAUUUUAUGUGAGUUGGUGUCGUGACCUAAUGUUCGCGGAUUCACCACCUAAAACUAGGUUAAUGGAUUACUAAGACUUUAAGUUUAGCUCGAGCUCUCCCAAGCCCAUACCAAUUCGCGACUUAGGUUUAAAUUCUUAACAUGCAAAUGAUUUUCAAUCAGGAGUCGCCACUAAUCUAUUUUUGGUGGGUCGAUUAGAAAUCCAAGUAAAGUAACGGGAGAUUUACUUUACUCCUACGAAUCAGAGAUUUAUGAGUUCGGGGACUUGGUUACACUAGACUAUCCUAGUGCCAUUUCGGUACCUUUUUAUUUCAUUUUCAAAAAAAAUGUUUGGCAAUUGAAUUGAUUUUAAUUUAACUUCCUAACAUGUAAGGUGAUCAUAUAUGUGCGCAUACCACCAAUUUAAUACUCAAAAAAGCAAUUAAGUAUUGUAAAACAUACCUAGAAGCAACGAAAGCAUCUGCAUUGUUAAAUCAGAAUUCAUAUCAGCAACCCUAGAUAUGAUUUCUAAUUAACACGCAAUUUCAAUUUUUGUUUUCGCUUUUCUUAAUGAAAAUUAUGUGAUGCAUGCUAAUAAUCUAAUAUGACAUAACAGCAUGACCUAAACUAUAUGACAUGAAGAAAUGCAAUCUAAAUGACCUAAUUCUAAUGACAUGCAAUGCGAUGCAAUGACAUACAAAACUAUUUAAACUAAGAUAACAUGCAGCAUACAAUUUAGUAUGCGAGUUAUAUGUCAUGCGACAUUUAUUAAAUGACUUAGUCUAAUGACGAGGAAGUUUUAAUUAAAUGAACCUAAUAAAAACUAAAUGACUUGCAUUUGAUAUUUCUAUUUAAAAAUGCAAAAAUGAUCUAGCUAGAUUAAAAUUCUAUCUAAUUAAGCUAAGGAUUAAGUCACAUUAAAUCCUAAUUUAAACUAAGAUAUUAUCUUAAUCUAACAUGCAAUUUAUUUAAUAUGCGAUGACGUGCAAAAAAUGCCCUAAUUCAACGCAUGAUGAUUUUUUGUGUUUUUAUAUUAAUUUCGAAAUUAAAAUUUCACAUGCAAUUCAAAUAAUGAUAAAACUAACAACCUAAAUGAAUGCGCUUUUUUUUUUGUUUUAUAUUUUCUAAAUUCGGAAUAAAAUCCUUAUUCUAGAUAUGCAAGAUAACGAAAAAAUAUUCUAAAACAAAUUGAAUCCUAAUUCAAAUAUUUUUAGAUAUUUUUAGUGGUUUUAAAAAAAAAAGCAAUUAUCAACUAAAUCUAAACAAUUAAGAUAUUCAAUCAAAUAAAUGAUUAAAAUAAUCGGAAAAAUAACCUAUUGUCUCACAGGUCAAAUUAACGAUUAUCCUAACCCUAAUUAUCACAACAAAAAGAUUAAGAUAAUUAAAAAUCUUAUUUGAAUUCUUACGGAUCAAAUUAAUAGUUAUAUUGAUUCAACAAUUAAAGUACUAUCAACAAAUUCCAAGAAUUAAAAUAAUUAAAAAAAUGACCCGACAUCUUACGGGUCAAAUUAAUAAUUAUAAUAAUUAUGGGGAAGACGGAUAAUGCCUACAAGACUCAUAAAGUGAACAUUGGGAUCCAAUUAAAUAACUAAACUACAUAAUAUAAACAAAAUAAAGUAAAUAUAAAAAGAAAAUAAAACUACCUAAUUUCUUUUUCUUUUCUUGCUUUCUUCACCCGCGGCUUGCUCGUGCGGCUGAUCUUCGGGCAGCGGGUUCUGAUCGUCGGAGGGCGUCGUGAUCGGAGCUCCGGGCUGGCGAGGGGAAUCGGCGGCGGCUUCGCGGACGCGGACAGGGGCGUCGGAUCGCUGGGAGGUCGAGCAAAGGCAGAGGCAAUAGCGACGGGUUCGGGGCCUGCUGGCGUCGAGCGGACCACCAGCAGCGACUGGUCACGGACCGGCGCGGAGGUGCGGGCUACAAGGGACGCUGGGCCAUCAGACGGGCGUAUGGUGGCUCAGGCUCCAGAUCUGGAGCGGUGCUGCGAGCAGGGGCGUUGGGUUGUGCGGUGGUGGCGUCUGCGCAGCUGCGAGCAGAGAUGAAAGGCAGGGGCACCCUGGCCCGGUGACGCUGCAACAGAGGGUGCAGCAGCUCGGGCGUCGCGGAUCGACACGGCGACGGCUUCGUCGGGCUGCCGGUGUCGCGGCUUGCGUGGGCGGCAGGGACCAGCGCGGCUUCAGCAGAAGACGGCGAAGGAGAUAGGCACUGGAGCAGCAGCACAAUGAACAGGGCAGGUGACGUCGGGUCGUCGGGGCAAGGGCGAAGCGGCGCGGGUCGGCAGGACGUCGAGGGGAACGAGCAGCGCGGGUCUGCCUGGCUUCGGGCGGAGCAGUAGCAGCGGGUCGGAUUGAGCGGCGUGGGUCCUCCUGGCUUGCGAUCCAGGUCACUUGAUCGGAGGCGGGGAGGAAUAGACGCAGACUGGUGCUCGGCGGGAGGCAGACGCGGGGUCGUCGGCAGCAAACGGAAGGCGGAAUCGGGUCCGGCAGAUGGAGGGCAAAGCGGAGUCGGCGAGUGUGAGGGAGACGAUGAACAGUAAACGUCCCCUCACCUCUUCCUUUUUACUUUUAUCUUUUCCCUCUUUCUCUCUCUCACCUGUCUCUCUCACGUCACUUUUUCUGCACACUUCUCUCCCUUUCCUAUCCCAAAAACCGAAACCCUCUUCCUUUGCCUCUCGCUUUUCACUUGACAUUUUUUUGUUUUUUUUUCGACGAAGAGAACCCUCCACUCAAUUGAUCCGUACGUAUCAUUUUAUAGGCGAAAUGAAACAGGAUCUUUUUCGUUAAUAUUUUUUUUUUUUUGGUAACCCAGAGAACCCCCGUACGCCGCUUCGCGACUGAGAUAAACCCUGGGGCAGACCCGGCCCACCACCGCUGACUAGGCCCACCGGGCAAAUUCCGCGUAAAUGCGUCCCGCGAGUCUCGAACUCUUCCCCCUGGCGUUUGGGGUACCAAGCCUUAACCACUUGGGCCACCGCGGGCGGUGGUUUUUUCGUUAAUAUUUUCAUCUUCCGAAUAUUGCUUAUAACCUCUUGAUCACAAAAAUCUUUAUCUCAAAAAUAUUCUCCCCCGAUUUCAUUAUCGAUUGAUAAAAAAUAAGAUUACAAUGCGAUUUUUUUAAUUUUCAAAAAUCAUGAUAAUAUCGCAUCAAAUCUUAAUUUUUCACAAGAUAAUUAAUUAAACAUAACAACGGGCUUGGGUUAAUUUUCUCAUUUCGUGGGCCUAGCCCAGCCUGCUAAUUUAAAACCCAAAACCACUAAUUCGACCCAUCUACCACCGGUCCAGUAAAUGCAAAUAAAAGACAAAUGUACCUACAACUAAAUGCUAUGCAAUUAAUUAAUUAAUUUAUAUAUAUAUUUAGGGAUUAAAAUUAAUCCCUAAUUUCUUAAUGUAAUAAAUGACUAAAUGGGUAGCCAAAAUUUAGGUGUCAACAGUUGGCAUCACAAAUCUUUAGUUGAGAUUUUAUGAAAAUGGACAAGUUUUGGCCUUCACUUUGAUCAAAGGAUAUGAAUACCACCUCUUAUAUAGACAAGUGUCAUAAUUAGGUAAGAGUUUCCAAGAUUCCAAUAAUAUCAAACAACACGAGAGAGAGAGAUAGAGAGAAAGAGCCUAAAUGAUUCCCAUGCCAAUUCCAGAAUAUCCCUCUUCUCACACUGACAAGAAAUGCUCUCAGUGUUUCGACAUGUUCUUGUGCUCCUAUAGCAACGCCCCCAUGUACAUCCACUGACCGACUGAAGUCAACCUAAGAGCAUUGUCCAGCACAUUGAUUCCCAUGACUAUCCAAGGUUAUGCCUUCUCAUACUUGGUCAGGACCUGAGCCCUGGUGAGAGGCUCAGGUCCUGACCAACUAUGGCCCCUCCUGGAGGAUUUCUUCAGCCUGCACAAGUGGGUCACCACGAUAGACACGUGCUAUGGAGUCGAGGGCGUGUCGGGUGAGCCCGGAUGCGUCCGAUACUGCGCUGGCGCAAGAAGCUCCGCCGAUGGUUCCGAGGAUGUUUUCACUGACUGGGCUCUGGAGAAGCUGCUUGCGACUGACCCUGUCAACAAAAGCUUCACUUAUGAGAUCGUGGACUGCAAUAAUGUCGGGUUCAAAUCCUUGGCUGCCACAAUGAAACUGACGGCGGUGAGAGAUGCAGAAGAAGAAGAUGGAUGUGGAAUGAGCUAGUCUUUUACAGUGAAUCCGAUUGAAGGAUGGACGGAGAAAGAUUUGACGGAGUUCUACAGUGCUGCUCUUCGAGUCAUGGCUGAAAGAAUAGAAGCUGCCUUAUCGAGCAAAGGGUAAUAAAUCUUGAUCUGAUUCUUGUUUACCUUGUAGUAUCAUCCUAUGGCAUUGAUGCCCGCAAUAGUAACAGUCACUGCAUGAUCUGAUAUCUAGGAUGAAUAGGCUACAACACUGGAGACCAGACCAAGAAGAUACGUGAAAAUGGUGUAUCCAACUUAUUAAAUGAGUGCGCAAUAGUCGUGUACAAGUAUACAUGUUCAAGUAGAGCAUUUGAGUCGCAUAUAUCCUCACUUUUCCAUCUUUAGAUGCUGUUUCGGGUAGAGCAUGCAAAUCGGGGUGUCUCCGCUUUAUGGUGGGUAAGCUCAAAAAAGAAAAUUUGUAUAGCUGUUGAAUCUCACCACUAACAAGCAGACCAGAGUACAGAAGUGGAUGCCAUCGCUUUGAAUCAGUAAAUGAAGCGAAGCAAAGUGAGAAAAUGACCAAAGAAGGCAAAGAGAAAGCUGUGUUUAGACAGCACUAGUAAUCAUAAAAGUAUGGCAGCUCUAAGCACCUUUUUUGAUUAAAACCUAAUCGUUAGCUUCUCAGCUGUGUUAGAGAAGAGAGUUGCAUCACAUGCAUACGGGAAUGCAAAUUAAAGGUUAUUGAAUGAAACGGAAGCAGAACCUGCUUCAAGUUGCAGAAGCCUUCAUAAACUCACACCCAACUUCGAAAAACAGAAAUACCUACACCUCGUAGAAACCCUAAGCCUGAGCCUUCCUCCCUCUCACUGUCGUUCCUGAUAACAUGGAGUGCGAAAAUGCGAUUGUCAGGUUCGGUGACCUUGACCAAAGCGCACGUCAGCAGCUCCCUACUUUGCGAGCUUAAUGCCGACCACCACCAUCCGGUCUCCAUGAACUUCGGUUGGAAGCUCUAGGCAGCGACUCCGCUUGGCAGCAUUUUAUCGUGUGCGUGCGAGCUUCAAGCAUCGCGUUGGGCUCGUUGAGGCUGAAGAAGAGGUGAGCUGUCCAACUUUGACACUAUUGAGUGAGGGAAGCGCCAUCUUUCAUGUGCCGUGGUUGCUCUAUCAUGAGGAACGUCCAAAGGCGCUCAGAUGCUUGGCAACGGGUCUUCUUGUCGUUCGUGCAGCGAAAUUUGUUCAUAAAUUACAUACAAUAAAUUAUAGUGUUGAAGUUGAUUAAAUUUUGUGAAAAGAUUUGCAUAUAAUUCCUCCAUGAGAUUGAGAGAUUAUUUCGUGAAGAAUUGUGAUGUUUAAAUAUUACGUGUGUUAUUUGGUGUAAUUAGGGUUUUAAAAACACUGUGAGUAUUUGAGUAAUUUGAGUAUAUAAUCUCAAUGUAUCGCUUGAUUUAUAGUAGAAUUCGUUAUUGUUCUCCCUGUAAACGCAAGUCACUAUGACCGAACCAUGUAAAUUUGGUAUCCUAUUUAUUUUCUUCUUCUAUCUAUUUUAUUGUUCGAUUGCUCGUGUCUUGCAAUAAUCAUGAUACCAUUCCUUUGCAGAGUCAAUGCAUCAUGGCUAGGCUGUUUCAUGCUUUUCUUAGAAUGAUAGAAUCAGAAGCAACUGGUUGUGCUUUCACUAAUUAGCACCUCAUCGCGACACGAGUGUGCAAGGGAUCAUCGAAUGGGUUUAGCAUUGAUAAGGGCUCAUGUCAACAUCUGUUUUGGUGCACUGACCUCAUGUGGGUGGAUCUCUUAGGACAAUUUUAGGUUUGUCAAGGAGCCAUGAGUAGAAUUGUGACGAUAGAAAAAUAUAACAUUCAAUCCAUACUAAAUGAAGAACACAUUUAUGACAGGCCUUCUAUAGUAGCAAAAUAUCAAUUAGAAUCAAACAAAAUCAAUUAAGAGAAAUAAACAAAAAUCCCAUAAAUAUAUCUAUAUUUCUAAUGCAGAGGUCAACUUGAGUUUGGAGAAAAGAUCCAACAAAUGAAGUAGAAAUACAUCCAACGGUGCCACAAAGAAUAUAAUAUUUAAUGAAAUGCAAUUUAUUUCAAUGUGCAUAGUUUUAUUCGUGGAAAACAUCGAAUUUAUUGUCAAAAGAGCCAGUUAAAAGCGUCGGAAAAGCACCUACAAGGCGACGGGCUUCAGUGUCUUCGAGACGUGGCAGCAUGUGUGGUGGCGUCCGACAUCCUUUUGCCGUGAAAUUUUAGGAUUUAAUUUGUCGGAGAGUAAUGAAUCUAGUAGUGUUGUCUAUUUUCCAAAGCAAAUAGCAAAAGAUACAGGCUUGGACUUGGUAGAGGAACGGAAGCAACAUGGCCUAUAGGACUGACUUCGUGAUGGCUGCGUGGAGUGAUGCGACUUAUAUUGUUGACAUCAUGACGAUAGAGGAAAGCAACCAAUGCAUUGUUAGAAACAAACUCGAUAUUGCGUUCAAUGGUGGCUCUGACACUAAAUUAUGAUGACUUAAAAAUGUAAUAUUCUCUUUAAAACCAAAUGAUAGUACAUAGGCUUUAUAAUAUGACUAUCUAAAGUAGCAAAACAUUAAUUACAAUCAAUUAGAAUCAAGUAAGAGAAAUACACAAAAUCUCCUAAAUAUAUCUAUAUAUCUGACACUAAUAUUUCCAUGCACAUCGUGACAAUCAUGCUUUUAGUAUUUGUGUUAGAACACUAGAGACGUUUCAUAUUGAAGAAUUGAUAUGGUGUACAACAAUUAAUAUAUCAUAGUUGGACCAUAAUUCAUUAACUUAAACUUUUAAGUAAAAGUAGACUCAACUGGAUAUAUUGAUAAAUUUGGACUUGUGGUGAUCUCCUCAAAAGAAGAUACUGGCAAAAUGGGUCAAGAUUGCGAUUCUUGAUACUUUUAAUCAAAAAUUUGAUUUUCCUAGUAAAAAACAAUAUGUGCUACUUGUAGGAAGGCAUUUUCGGAUUACAAAACUUCAAGUCCUCAACAUGCUCUCUCACUCUCUAUAUAAAGAUUGACGUCCGCAGCUCAAAAACACAAACCUAAUUUGCCUUCAUCUCUCUCUCUCUCUCUCUCUCUCUCUCUCUCUCUCCACUUUGUUUGAAGAACUAACAAAGCCAAAAUGGAGUCUGCAAACAUUGAUCAUGUGACUUAUGAGAUGAACCAAACCCAACCAAAAUGGCAAGGCCAAGCUUGUGCAGACUUGGCAGGUCCAAAGGCAGACCAAAUAUGGCCCUUCGUGGAGGACUUCUUUGGCCUCAAAAGGUGGUUCCCGACCCUCACUGCUUGCACCGGGGUCGAGGGAGUCCCUGGCCAGCCCGGGUGCAUCCGUUACUGUGCUGGGUUCAAUAAUGCCCCGUUUGACCGGGCCAUCGGUCAGGCCAAGACAAGCACCCUGUAUUGGGCGAAGGAGAAGCUGUUGUCGAUCGACCCAGUCGCCAAGACAUUAAGCUAUACCAUCAUAGACAGCAAUAUCGGGUUCAACUCCUACGUAGCCACAGGCCGAGUCGUGCCUAAGGAAGAGGGGUGUUGCAUCAUGUGGCGGUAUGAGGUCGAGCCCGUGAACGGCUGGAAACACGAGGACUUGGACCAGUGGUUCGAGUCGGCCUUGCAGGUCAUGGCGAGGAGCAUGGAGAAGGCUCUUCUCGGUCAGGCAAACUGAUCUCGUCUGAAUCUGAUGAUUUGCUUCUGUGCUCGUAUGGUAGUCUUGGAGCUGAGUGAUGCGGUGUGCAAUAGUACGCAGUAGCUCUCUAAUAUUUUCGCAAUAAUUUGUAUGGGAGACGUUUGAUAUAAUUUAUAAAAGUUGAUAAUUUUUAUUCGUCGGAUUCGGUUUCAUAAGAUUGGUCACUAUUCCCCAUUUGCAUUGGGAGCACCAUCUUGUACGUCCAAAUUGCACUCAUAUAUAUAUACAUACACUUUUGAAGGAAUUUUUCCUUUUUGCCAGAAAAAAGAGCGAGAGUUAUAUUUGCUCAAACUGAAGAUGUGAUCAUACAUGACCGACAUAAUCUUGAAGCUAUGAUUAUUCACGGAAUAUAUAACAUUUCUAGAAAAUAUUUUGAGGGAAGUCAUUUCUAAUAAGAUGACAAUAUUUUCCGGUAUUUGGUUAAAACUUGAAAAUGAACUGAAAAUUAUUUAUGUUGUUUCGUGAGAAAUAUAAUUUGAUUUUCUUAAAUAGACACACACAUGAGCAAUCGCGAAACCAAACACGGGCACUAGGGUCUUGGGUCUAGCCUCAAUGGACCCAAGCAUGGGAACUGGGGUUCCCGGGCUCAACCUUGAUGGACCAAUGCACAGCCUUUGUGGACUCGGGCACGACCUUUGUGGAACCAAGCUCGAGUGUUGGGGAUCCGAGCUUGGCUUUGGUGGACUCGAGGCCGGGUACUCAAUAAGGCUUUGGGCCUAGCUUUGAUGGACCCGAGCACAAGUGCCGGGGUCCUGAGCUCGGCUUUGAUGGACCUGGGCAGGGGCACUGGAGAUUCGAGCACAAACAUUGAGAUCUAUAGUCGAGUCUCAAUGAACUCGAGCCCAAACCCGAGUGCUAGAGAUCUAGUUUUGCACGUUGAGCUUUGGGAACCAACGUUGGGAUUCUGGUGCCCAAGCGUAUAGUUUGGGUUCAAGCGUCGAUAUCUAAUUACAUUUUGAAAAAUGAUUUAUAUUUUUAAAGAUAAAAUUAUUUUCUUGAAUCUAAAGAUAGGUUUUUCAUUGAUCAAGAAAACAUUUUUUGCUAGCUCAUUUUUCCGAAGAAUGUUUUUCGUGAAACAUACCUAACUUGAGUUCAGGUACUUUCAAUUAACUUGGACAGGUCGAACAAUGCUAUGUCGGACAAAUGCGGAGUAUCCAUGUCAAUUUUGACUCUACUUUUUGCAUGCGUUGGUACGAUGAGGUUCGUGGCGGAUUCAAGAGCCCUCCAUUUAACGCGGCAAUAUGUCCACUUGAGUGUCAUUUUCCUAGUGUCCAGCCCCGCACCAUUCAUGCGCACCUGCUCCAAGAGUACGAAGAUAUCAGAGACAUAUUCAAGAAGCUAGUCAAAAUUAGUGAGGAGAAAAUCACAAUUUCUAACUUUGUCAAUUUUGUGCACUGUUGGAAUGUGAAUUGGAAUAGGUUUUUUUAGUAGAAAGAAAAAUAUGACUUCGAAUUAAAUAGAACAAUAAAGUUAGACUUAAUGAUUUAUUUACUCCACAUUGUUACUAAUGAUUACCUGUAGGCUGCAAAUAUUAUUCAAGAUAUAACAAAAUCUCCAUUGAAAAUACUUUAUAACAAUUCUAGUAUUGUUAUAGAGUCUUUUAAGGGAAACAAUUGAAAUGAUGGCUGUAAUUUUGGAAAGAAAACUGGAAAAGACUUAAUAUGCAUUCACGUAGAAACUGAUAUAUUUAUCUGGGUCUUAAUGAACAAAUAAUGAUUCUAGAGUAACGGUGCCAUUAUUGCUUGAAGAUGACGGUGCAACACCACUUUCACUUCAGAAGAACCGGCUAUCGGAUUUGUAUAAAUAAGAAAAAAGGGAAAAUUGCUCAAUGGGCUGCACCGGAAAAGAACAUCAGAAUUUUCUUUUUUGCCAUCUUAACCUCACAUGUUCUUUUGAGAAUAUUACGAAGUUAAGAGAACAUUAGAAAUGUAGUAAACUAAUUCAAAUCACAUUUUAUCAUGUUAACUCUAAAUCUCUUUAGUAUGUUUCUUUAGAAUAUGUUUGUAUUUUUCAAUUUGAGAAUAUGCUUGUUCGAAAUAAGCACUAUGAUGGAGGUAGCUCACUAUGGUCAAUCACCUAGAUUUCCCUCUCUCAAUUUUUUUUUUGGGUACAAUUACCCCUUCUUGGCUUGCUCAAAAGUGAUUAUGGCCAAACUAGCUACCGUUGUCGUAAUGGUUAUUCCGAACAAGCAUUUUUUCAAAUUGAAAAAUACAAACAUAUCCUAAAGAAGUUCACUAAAGGAAAUUUAGAGUUAACCUUGUAGAAUGUGAUUUGAUGAGUUUAUUGUAUUUUUAAUGUUUCCAUUACUUUGUAACUCUCAUGUUUAUUAUAGCAAUUAAACACUAAAUUUAUAAAAUUGGAAAGAAAGAAUUAUACCUGGCACUGAAAGAUGCCAUGAAAAAAGUUGGGUUGGAGAUCACGAGAACAUGCGAGGUGAGGAGGAAAAAGAAAAGGAAAAAUUUCUAACUCUCAGGCUCCGUUCAUUUUGCGGAAAAUAAUUUCCGGGAAAAUGUUUUCCCGAUUUUCCGGUAUUCGUUUCACGGAAAAUGAAUUCCUUGGGAAAAAUGUUUUCCAUGAAAGGAAAAAAGUCUUCUAAAUUAAGGGAAAAUAUUUUCCACUUUUGAAAAGUGAAAAAUAUUUUCCUCACUUGAUCUCUUUUGUCUCACACCUCUACAAAUCCUCACUUCCUCCUCCCCUUUCUUUUUCUUCUUUUCUUUUUUUGUUCGAAUUAUUUUUUAAUUUUCUUUUUCUUUUUUAAUUCGAAUUAUCCUUUUUCUUUUCUAUUUCUUUUUUCUUUUUUUCUUUUUUUCUUUUUUUUCUUUGUUUCUCAUCUUCUUCUUUCUUGGCUAGUCGUUGGCCGUUGCCAAGCAAACCUCGAGCUCGUCAAUCUCAAGCUCACGCUCCGCACUCUUGCUUAUCCUUUUCUUUAUUUAUUCUACCUUGCAAUUGUAGCUCAAGUAAAGGGCUUUACAUGCUUUGCUUCUUUUUUCUUUUGUUUAUUAGAACACAAAAAACGCAGGGGGAGAACAUGCCACUCAAUUGGAAGAUUCUCAUGAGGGCUAUACAUGCUAUGCUUCUUUUCUCUUUUGCUUCUUUUUAAAAUCCAUAUGAACAUUUCUGGAACAAAGAUAUGAAAAGAAGUUUGCCUGGAUUUAAAGGCAAGUUCAUAUUUGAUGGAUUUAUAGGUUGGUAAGUGAUGCAUGCCUAAGUGGUGAAAUCUUUAAAAAUAUUUUUCUUACCGAACACCAGAAAAUAUUUUCCGAAACGUUUUCAGGUUUUAGCAAAAUACAAUAAAAUAUUGUCAUUUUCCUGCAAAAUGACUUCUGGGAAAAUAUUUUCCAGAAAUGACCAAUUUUCCUUGAAACGAACGGACUCUCAGUUUCUGGUGCAACCCAUUGAACAAUUUUCCUUGUUUUGAUAUUUAAACAAAUCUAGUAACUUGUUCCUCUUGAAGCAAAAGUAAUGGUUGAAAUUGCAUCGUCAUCUUCAAGUAAUAAUGGCACCAUUAGGGCCUGUUUAGUAACCAUCCAAACAGGCCAUGAUUCUGAUUUUUUGUUCUCGAGAGUAAUUUUGGAACAGAAUCGCAUUUGGUAAAAAUUUUGUUUCCAGGAACAGAUUUGGAGUAGAAUUAAGAAUAAAAAAAAAAUUGAUUCUUUGUUCCCGGGAACAAAUCUAGAAUCAAAUCUAUACAAAUCUAGAAUCAAAUCUAUCUAAUUUUUCCUUUUUCCUUCUCUUUUUUUUUUUUUUAAUUCUUUUUCCUUCUCUUGUUCUUCAAGUGUUGCCGCCGCCGCCAGCCCUCGUCAAACGUUGCUGUCUGCCGCCCACUGCCACUGGAGGCCUGGCAAGCUCGUUGGAGGCUCGCCUAGCUGCCGGCGAGGCGGGCCUCCCCCGGCCAUCGGCGAGCCCAACCAUGGUUGGGUGAGGCUCUACCUCGCCUAAAUCUGGCGAGGCCGAGCUCGCCCAACCGCCGGUGGGGUUUGACCUCACUGGGCCACUGCGAGGCGGCCUCGCCUAGCCAGGGCUUGGCUGAGCCUCGCCCAACUGCUGGCGAGGCUCGGCUGACGAGGCAUGGCCUCGUUGAGGGUCGACGACGCUUCAGUGAGGUCGCCGGCCCUUAUCUGGCCGGUCAUCGAUCGUCUCAAGGCCGACGACCGGCCACCUUGAAGAGAAGGAAGAAGAAGAAGAAGAAGGGGAGGGAGAAAGGAAAAAAAAAAGGAAAAAAAUUAAUAAAAUUAUUUAAAAAAUAAAAAAAAUGAUUUGAAGUAUGAAUGGAAAUUUUGCUAUAUAUAGAAUACAUAUUUAAUUUUGUAUUUUAAUUUAUUAUUUAUUAUUUAGUAUUUAUAUUUAUAGUUUAUAUUAUAGUUUAUUAUUUACUAUUUAAUGAAAAAUUGAUUAGUUAAUAUGUUUAUUACUUAGUAUAUAUGUAAUUAAUCAAUAGAAUUUUUAUAAUUUGAUAAAUUUUAGAAUUUGAAUAGAAAUUUUAUGUAGUUACCAAACACAUUUAUGUUCUUUUUCUAUUUCAGAAUCAGAAAUUUUGUAUAGUUAUCAAAUGCGUUCUUUUGCUUAGAAAUUGUUCUCGGGAUUAGAAUAAAAAAAAAAUCAUUUCUGAUCAUAAUCUAUUCCCGAGAACAGAAUCAUUACCAAACGCACUUUUAUUGUUACAUUGCUCAUGAACAAAAACAACCAUUCAAGAGAGCUUACAAAGUGAACAAAGAUAACAUUUUGAAAAAAGUUGCAAAGUGAAUAAAGGUAUUCUUUCGGAAAAAGUUGUAAACUGAAUAAGUAUAUUUUUAAAAGUUAUCUUGAAAAGACAUAUAAAAUUUGAAAUAAAUAAUAAUAAUAAUUAAUAUUUUAGAAAUAGAAUUCUGAAUUUCAUAAUUUCCAAAAAUACUAAACGAACAAAUAUAGCCUUUUGACUUAUAAAGGUUAACAAGAUAAAGGUUUGAAGCCCGAUGGUGCCACCGAGCACUGGAGGGUCGUGUGAUCCCCGAAGGGUGAUCUCCGGUAGUUCCUUGGUCACCAAAAAAAGAAAAAGAUAAAAGAUAAAGGUACGAAAUAAAAGUAAAAAAAUAAAAUGAAGGGGAUAGUGCUAAUUAGACCACGCCAAAAUCGCGCACCCGUACAUGAAUAUUGUGGGUUUAGCCCACAACCCAUUAUUUUCCUUUGAAUAGAUUAGAAGAAGCUUAUACUUAUAAAGUGAUCAAUCUCCUCCCAAUUUUUCUAUAUGGGAAAUGGAAAAAGCACAUUUUGAGGAAGGGACCAAGAAAAAAUAGAGGCUAACUUGCUUCACAAUGGAAGGGCUUUCUUUUACAAACAAACAACCGACAAUUAUCCACUUUGCUUGUAAGACAAAAAUUUCAAAAAUAUACAACCAACAUUUUGAUAAGAUUAAUAUACAUACAUAAAAGUCUAUUUCGAGUUAAACUUUUACUUAGUGCAAGUAUCUCAACACUCUAUUAAAGUGACAAGAGUUCAACUUUACACUUGUACCUUAAAUAAUCGAAUCGGCCAUAUCGCACAUAUAUUAACCUCUUGUUUUAGUGAGAAUAUUUAUUUUACUCAGCACUAUUAUGCCAUUGUGCUUGUACCUAUUUCAUGAGCUCUCUAAAAACAAGCCCAAUUUUUGUAAGAGACAGCCCCACGUUUAAGCUCAUAUAAGUAAAGUAUCUACCAUGUGUUUCUAUUACUAUUAGCACAUUACAAAUUUGUUGUAUACUUCAUUAAAAAUUCAAUUUAGCCUACAAAAUAGAACAUAUAAUACCGACUUCUCAUAUUAAGGCUAACGUCAGUACCCAACAAUUACUUUCAAUAAAUUUUUUUUACCAAUUAAACCUUAUAACUAAUGAUGUUUUAGAAAAAGAUUGUGUUACCAUUAUUAGUAAUUUUAAAUAAAGGGUUUCAGCUCCAUUUCUUGUGAGGUUAUUUUUACCAUAUCUUAUGGUAAGUUUUUGUCAAGAGAUUGGCUAGAUUAUUACUUGACCUCAGCUAAACAAUUGUUAUGGUACCAUUUUUAUCGAUUGCCUCACACAUUGAUUUCUAAAAUUAAUAUGUCUAGACUUUCCAUUAUAAGUGCUACUAUAAGCUCUUGCCAAAGUAGCCUAACUAUCGCAAUGGUAAAAAUAGAAGAUAUAUGAUUAGGCCAUAAUUUGAUAUCAAAUUAUAAAUUCCUAAUCCAUUUAGUUUAUUUUCCAGUUGCUGCUAAAGCAACAAAUUCAAAUUCCAAUGUUGAAUCAGUCGUAUAUAUCAUUUUCUUGCUCAUCCAAGAUACAACACCUCUACCUAUUGUGAAUAUCCAUCAAGAAGUAGAAUGUUUAUCACCCACACUUGUAAUCCAACUAGCGUCGGUGUAUUAUUUUAAUAUGGCUGGAUAAUUAUUAUGGAAUAAUCCUAAAUUUUUAGUUCUCUUAAGAUAAUCAAAAGUCUUGAUAAUUGCUUUCCAAUGUUCUAUACGUAGAUUAGUAGUAUACCUAUUCAAUUUGCAUAUAGAACAAGUUAUAUCAAGUUUCGUAUAAUGCAUUGCAUAUAAAAGACCCUAUAACACUUGCAUAUUUAAGUUGUGUUAAUGCUUUACUGGUUUUGUAAUUUAAUUUAGUACUUGAAUCAAAUGGAGUACUAAUUUCCUUGAAACAAAGAUGUUGAGAUUGAAUAUUUUUCAAUGUAAUCACAUUGACUCAAACAAUAACCUCUAUUGUGUUUUUUAACCUUAAUACCUAAGAUAGUAUCUACUUCACCCAAAUAUUUCAUUUUAAAUAUGGAAGUUAGAUACUCUUUAAUCUCAACAAUUCUAGUUCGUUCCAAAGAUGAGCAUAUCAUUAAUAUGCAAACACACUAAGACACCAUAGUCUUUAGUGAAUUUAGAGUAUAUACGCUUAUCAGUAUUGUAUAUGAAACUAUUAGACAAUAUGACUGAAUUAAAUUUUUCGUGCCACUACUUAGGAGCUUGCUUAAAGCCCUCAAAGAGAUGUAAUCAAUUUACAUACUUCCUUUCAUUUUCAGAAAGAACGAAACCCUCUGGUUAUUCCAUGUGAAUUUUCUUGUCUAAGUCUCCAUUCAAGAAAGCAAUCUUAACAUCCAUUUGAUGAACACAAAAAUCAUAAAUGGAAGCUAAAGAGAAAAGAAUUCAAAUAGAAAUUAUACGUGGUAUAGGAGUGAACAUAUCAAAAGGAUCCAUUCCUUCCUUUUGUCUAUAUCCAUUGGCCACUAGUAUAGCCUUAAAAGUUUGGAUAGAAUCAUUGGAAUGAUAUUUUCUUCAAAGAAACCCAUUUAUAGUCUUGGAUUAUUUUGGUAAAUCUACUAAUACUCAAGUAUUAUUGGACAUAAUUGUGGCAAUUUCAUCAUUUACAACUUCUUUCCAAAAGGAAACAUCUCUAUAAGACGUAACAUGAUUAAAACAUUCGGGAUUGUCUUCUAAAUUUAAUACUAAAGGGUAUUUAUUUAUCACAUUAUUAUCUUUGUCUCCUGCAAUAAGAAAAACAUGAGUAAUAAAAUCCAGGCCUAAGUCUUUUAAUUUUCUAGCUCUAGUGCUUCUUCUCGAUUCAUCCAUGUCUUUAAAAUCACUUUUUUUUUUUCUCAUGAGAAUCUAUUUGAGUUUUUGUAGGUUUUGAAUUAUUUCCAAUAAUUUCAGAACCCGUGGAACAUUUAUUCUCAAAGAAUUCAACAUUUUUCGAUUCUUCGAUGACAAUGGACUCUAAGUCAAGAAGCUUAUAUAAUCUUUAUAGUUUUUGGCAUAUCCAAUGAAAACACUUCUGAUAGCUUUAGGUCCAAGUUUUGUUCUCUUGGGAUCUAGUACUCAAUAGCAUGCCAAAUACCCCCACACUUCAAUGUAUGACAUGUUUGGUUUUCUACCUUUCCAUAAUUCAUAAGGGGUUAUGCCAUUUCUCUUGGAUGAUCCUAUUAUAAAUAUAACAUGUAGUAAGCAAUGCUUCUCCCCAAAGAGUAAUUGGUGGCUUUGAAUUUGAAAGCAUAUAAUUAAUCAUUUUUUCAAGAGAUUGAUUUUUUUCUUUCAACCAAACCAUUUUGUUGUGGAGUAUGUGGUGUCUAAAGUUGAUGGAUAAUACCAUAUUUUUCACAAAAUGAAGAAAAUUUAUUUAAAAAAUAUUCUCCACCUCUAGCUGAAUAUAGAACUUUGAUUUUCUUUUUUAAUUGAUUUUCUACUUCAAUCUUAUAUUUCUUAAACAUGGUAAAUGCCUUCAUCCUUCAAGAUCAUGAGAUAAACAUAUAAAUACCUAUUGCAAUCAUCCACAAAGUCAACAAAAUAACUUUACCCUCAUGAUUUAGCAUUCCAUUGAAUUCACAUAUAUUACUAUGAGUCAAAUCCAAUAAAUUUGAAUUUCUUUUAACACUAGGAGAUGGUUUCUUAAUUAAUUUGGACUGUGCACAAAUUUCACAUUUAUCAAAUUCACCAUUAAAAUUUAGCAAAUCUAAAUUUUUCAUAUUCUUUAAAUAAUGAAUAUCUACAUGUACCAACCUACUAUGCCAUAAAUGUGGAGACUCAACAAUAUAAACAAAAAUAACAAUAUUGUUAUUGACAUUUAGUUGAUACACGUCGUUAUUUGCAUAAUCUAUUGCCAACAAACACCUCAUUCUUCAAUAAGAUAACCUUGUUGGGAUUAAAACAGAACCCGAAACCCCCCUUUUACAAAGUAAAAUAUAGAAACUAUGUUCUUUCUAAUUUUAGGUAUAAAUUACAUAUUAAGAAGAGUAAUCUUCUUUCUAAAAGUAAAGUCUAUCUCCCCCAUGAACUUUGUCACGCCCCGAAUCUCGAGCGCGCAACCAUCCCACCAUGGUCAUGCAAAUGCGACAUUCCCAGGUAGUGUCGCCGACCCCAUUCAUUUAUUAAUGCGCAAGCGGAACGUAUUAUAAAACCCCUGACAAUAAAAUACGGGAUAGAAAAGCAGGAAGCAAAACCACAAUAUAACACUUCCAUAAUUCAACAGAAUUACAAACAGAGGUCUACGGCCAAAAGUCUACAAAAGACCGGCUCUUAAAAAGGAAUUGUCCUACGACCUACAAGUUGGACACGUUCUCCAAUCUUAUGACUUCACCUCUGCAACUCCUCAAGGCCAACCAAAGCUAUAUGGUCACUCCGUCCACCAGGGACCUGAAAUUUUAAUCCCACAACCGGGAUGAGACGAUGUCUCAGCAAGUUUAAUCCCCUAAACCCCUAUUAAAAAGAAAAUACGCCCAAGGGUGGCCUAGCCACAUCACACAGAGAACUUACCUCGCCUCAAUUCCUGCACGCAGGUUAGCACAAUUUGUAUCACACAAUCUCAGGUAAUAAUAAUAAUUUAAAUAAUUGGAACGCCAUCACUUUCAUAUAAAUCACGAUCGCACUUAGCACGCAUUCCAAUUAUUAUUCACUGCCACACAAGGGCAUAGCCUACUCGCGGGUCGGCUAUCUACUAACAUUACGGCAUUUCUAGAAGAAUAAAGGUCCAGUCGGUCCCGCCACUACUGCGACCAAGCCACAUCAUUCUAUCGACGGCGUUUCUAGAAGAAUAAAGGUCCAGUCGGUCCCGCCACUACUGCGACCAAGCCACGUCAUUCUAUCGACGGCAUUUCUAGAAGAAUAAAGGUCCAGUCGGUCCCGCCACUACUGCGACCAAGCCACGUCAUUCUAUCGACGGCAUUUCUAGAAGAAUAAAGGUCCAGUCGGUCCCGCCACUAUUGCGACCAAGCCACGUCAUUCUAUCGACGGCAUUUCUAGAAGAAUAAAGGUCCAGUCGGCCUAGCCACUACUGCGACCCGAGCCUUUCAACUAGCACACGACAAUUCGAUACCGAUCCCUGGAUACUUUACAUUUCACUCACAUAAUCCAAUUAUGAUAUUAACCAUUAACAAUCCAAUUUCAAUGCCAAACUCGACACUUGGAAUUUUCUAAAUAAAAUCAAUACUUUUCACAAUUCACACUCAAUUUAUAAUAUCCAAUCAUCAAUUUCAAAAUCUGACUACACAGCAGCGACCGACACGAAAUUCUGAGAAUUUAGGGUUCUAACAAAAUUUUCGGAAUUUAAUAAUUAAUUAAAUUUAUUCCGAAAAUAAUUAAAUAAUAAUAUUUUAAUAAUUUCGAAUAAUAUAAUAUUAUUAAAUUAUUAAAAAAUUUCGAAAUAUUUAAAUAAAUCAAAAGUAAAUUCCUUUAUGUCACAUCACAAUUUAUAUUAAUGUAACCACUAACUUAACCUUAAAUUAAACACAAUUUAAGUUAAUCAAACACUUUAAUAUAAUCUACACUUAAUUAAAUUAAACUAACCACCUAAUAACACUUAACAUUAACUAAGCACCCAUAAAGCAUCAUUAACCCUCUAAUCAAAGUUUAGUGAGUUAAACUCACCGGAUUAGCGAGCAUAGCGGACCAAAACGACGGGGACGCCGAGGAGAACAACUUUCCUCAAAGCGGGCCCAGCAUCCGGGCUCGUGAAGGUGGCCAAAACGGGCGGGCUGCCAUACCCAUUUUUCCAGCUACUGAUUUGGGGCCGAGAACGGCGGAUCCGGCGCCGGUUGGGCAGAGGAAUGGCGGAGGAGCUGCGGCGGUGCCGUGCGGCCAACGACAGGGUCUCACGGUGGCUGGAGGUAGCGGAGGGAGCUCCAGCGAUUCCUGCACGAGCUGGACAACAGCUCCGGAUGUCGGCCAAGCGCGGGUGAGUGCGGGCAGCGGCAGAGCGCGAGACGGCGAGCGGCGACGGGCAACGCGAGGCGAGGACGGCGACUCCGGCGACGGCGAGCAGAGCGUGGGUGGCAAGCAGCUUCUCCGACGAUGCUGCAACUUUCGCUGGUCUUCGGCUGGUUGGGCGAGCGGGCGAGGCACGCGGACGGCACGGCGAACGGCGAUGGGCGGGCUGGCUCGGCGGUGACGAACGGACGAGUGACUGCGACGGCGAUGAACAGCGGAGGCGGACGGCCAAGCGAGCGUGCGAAGGGGCGGCGUCGAGCGGCUAGCUUCCGGUCGAAGCUCUCCCUUUCUGUCUCCUCCCAAGUCCCAAGCUUGAAGAUGAUGUUGAUGGGUGCCUUUCCAAGAGCCAAUAUCCACCCUCCACUUGUCCAAAUCUCAUUCUCCUUGGCCCAACCAACAUGACAUCAUCCCAUCUCAUCUUCCACUAACUCAUUUCCUCUACAACCUACUUCAAUGGGUCCAAUUUCAUUUUCCGCCGGGGCAUAAAACUUUGUGCAACAAUUUCUUCAAUUCCACUUAAUUCUCUUCCAAUUGAAUCUUAAUCCCACUUGAAUUAAAUAAAAUUGACCCCCAUUAAUUCAUUCAACACCUCAUCAGUCAAAUUGGUAUUUUUCCUUACCACUAUGGCGUACUUGCAUCCCAAUUUCACAAUCUCUGGCUUCAACUGAACGAAAACGGCCCUAUUUAUCUAGUCGAAAUUAAAACUCGAAAUCUAGAUGUCACACCCUUGCUAGCAACCUUUGCAAGAGCAUUAUUCGCCAUUAGGACCUCUUGAACAUUUGAGUUGAUAAUCACUUCAAAUUACUUGAACAUGUACUUAUCUUUACACACAUGAACUGUUGCUCCAGAAUUUAACCACUAACUAGAAUGGGCUGUAGUAGAGUUGAUUUCAAAAACCAUAGCCAUUAUAUCAUUAAUUUAAGAAUUUUCAUGUUUGACAACAUGAUUGAAAUCUUGGCCACAUAAUUUUCUUCAAUCAAAUUUGCAUCUACCUUCACAGUUGAAAUCUUCUUGUCCUUUGAUAUGCUCUUACAAUGAAUGCAAUUCUUAGCAUUGUGUCUUUGUUUGCCAUGAACAAAACAACAACCCUUUUUAUUCUUUUCACAGCAUUCACCUUGGAAUCAUACAUAAUGGUAUUAUCAUGUAAAUGUGACUCUUCCUCAAUACAAAGAUUUUUUUGUAUUUGCCUCAAGGUGAUGUCCUCUGACUUGUGCAUCUGUUUUUCCAUAAUCUUUCCAACUUGGAGGCAAUUUUGCAAUAAUUGCUCCAACUUGAAAAGCUUCCAAAAUAUCAAUUUUGAGAGUACAAAUUUUGUUGACAAGAACCUGUAAUUCAUGGACUUAUUGUAACAAGGGGUUUGGUAUCACUAAACUUGAAAUCAAAAUACUUCGUGAUUAAAUAUUUAUUGGUACACUUGCUCCUCCUCUUUGUACUUGAAUUACAAUAUAUUCUAGAUUUCUCUAGCUGACUUCAUCUCAGUGAAUAAGUCAUGCAAUUAAUCGGAUAGUAUAUUCAGAAUGUGUCCACAACAUAGCAAUUCAUCAUCUACACGUUUCUUCUUCUCCUAGUUAACCCUUUUAAUGGUUUCCACACUUGGUUGUCCUCCUUUAGUAGAAGGCUGUAGAUCCUCUAUGGGCGCAAACUUAGGACCUAGUAUGUAGGAUAUCUUCAGAGUAGUGAGUAGGAACAUCAUCUUGUCCCUCUGAAAGCAAAGUUAUUCUUGUCAAACUAGUCCAGUUUGAUCAUAGACUUUCAUUGUCUUUGACUCCAUUAUUGAAUGAAUAAAUCCUUAAUUUUUUUGGAAAAAUAUGAUUUCGAAUUGAUAGAAAAAUAAAGUCAGGCUUUAAGACAUGAUAUUACUUUCUUUAAGGAUUUAUUUGCUCUACUAUCUCUAAGAUAUUACAAAGUCUCGAUUAAGAGUAUGGGAUAGCAAUUCUAAUAUUGCUCUAAGGUCUCUCAAAGAAAACAAUUGAAAUGAUGAUUGUAAUUUUGAAAAGAAAACUCAAAAAAACUUAAUACACAUUCAUGCCGAAACUAACAUAUUUAUCUCAGUUUUAAUGAAUAGAGGCAACCCUUUAGAAAAGGUUGCAAAGUAAACAAAUGCAUCACUUCAUGAAAAGUUGCAAAGUGAACAAAGAUAUCCCUUCGGGAAAAGUUGCAAAUUGAACAAGGUAAUUUUCAAAUGUUAUCUUCGAAAGAUAUAUAAAAUUCGGAAUAAAAAAUAAUAAAAAACAACUAUUUCUCUAAAAUAAAAUUAUAAAUUUCAUAAUUUGCAAAUUUUUUUAAUGAAAAAUAUAACAUUUCAACUAAUAAAGGUUAAUAAGAUAACUAUACGAAAUAAAAUUAAUAAAUAAAAUAAAGAGGUUAGUGCUAAUUAAACUGCGCCAAACUUGUGCAUCCGCAUGCAGUUAUUGUGGGUCUAACCCACAACUCAUUCUUUUUCUUUAAACAAACUAAAAGAAAAGUUGCCAAUCUCCUCCUGACUUUCCUAAGUGAGAUAUGGAAAAAGCACCUUUAAAAAAAAAAAAAAACAAACAAACAACCAACGUGCACACAACGCAGCAUGGAAUCUGGCAACCUAUAUCAUCUAAACAAGAUCCACCACAUUGUCUCCGGUUGUCAGCCUAGGAAAAAGCUGAUGUGCUGAUCUUUAUCCGAUGCAAACUACUUUGCUGAAGCAUCAGGACACCGUCCUUUUGCAGAAUCAGUCCAUCAUGCUUUUCUCAAAACGAUAGAAUCGGAAGCAACCGGCAUGCUUUCAACGAAUCAGCACCUCAUAGGGACAUAAGCAUGCAAGGGAUCAAUAAAUCGGUUUAACAUUAAUUACCGCUCAUGUCAACAUCUGUUUUGGUGCACUGCCAACACACCGUAUAUGUGCUUUCAGUAUUUGAACAUGCUGAGAAGUGCCUAUUAACAACUCCGUUAAGUCAGCUACUUCAUUACUGGUUGCUGAAGUCUGAAGCCUGCAUAGUGAGAGAUAGGCAACGACCACUAAAGAUUUAAAAACACUACUCGGCGGCAUGAUUGUUACUCUUGCUAGUAGUCGAGAAUUGUGAUGACAGGAAAAUAUAAUUUUCAGUUCCUACCAAAUGAAGAAUACAUUUACAGGAUGACUAUCUAAAGUAGAAAAAUAUCAAUCACAAUCAAUUAGAAUCAAUUAAGAAAAAUAAACAAAAACCCCCUAAAUUAAUUACAAUCAAUCGGAAUCAAUUAUUUUCUCAUGUCUAAGUUUAUUAGUUUUCAUUUAAUCACAUUUAUAUUGGUUCAUCGUCGAGGCUCGUCAUUUUUAAACAAUUAUUUUUCUUUUGGGCCUGCAUGAUUCCCGUGCCACUUCCAGAAUGUCUCUUCACAAACUGACGAGAAGUGCUCUGAGUAUAUCCCACAUGUUCAUGGGACCCCAUAGCACCCGCCCACGAACAUCCACUGACCAACUGAAGCCAACCUAUGAGCAUUGUCCAACGCUUAUAUUUUCUCGUGCACUGACAACUAAUGCUUUCACUAUUUCAGUAUUGUUCUGAAGCCUGCAUUGCUAUGGCCUGUGAAGCAGAGAAGAAAUGGGAAAUAAAGGUUAGUGCCUGAGUGAGAGGCUCCAGUCCGGACCAGAUAUGGCCACUUCUGCAGGAUUUUUUCAACCUCCACGAGUGGCUCUCCCCAUGAUGAUGUGUGCUACGGAGUUGGAGGCGUAUCAGGUCAGCCUGGCUGCAUACGAUAUUCUGCUGUCAUUAAAAUCUCCAAGGACGGUUCGGAGGAGAUGGUCACCAACUGGGCUCUGGAGAAGCUGCUCGCUAUCAAUCCUGUCAACAAAAGCUUCAACUAUGAGAUCGUGGAUAGUAAUAUGAAUGGGUUCAAAUCUUUAGUGGCAACAACUGAACUCACACAAGUGAAAGAUGCUGAAAAAGAAGCAACCGCUAUAACUUGGUCCUUUGUUGCAAAUCCAAUUGAAGGAUGGACUGAGAAAGGUCUGACAGAGUUCUAUGGUUCUGCUCUCCAACGCAUGACAGAGUUCUAUGGUUCUGCUCUCCAACGCAUGGCAGAAGUGCUCUGAGUAUAUCCCACAUGUUCAUGGGACCCCAUAGCACCCGCCCAUGAACAUCCACUGACCAACUGAAGCCAACCUAUGAGCAUUGUCCAACGCUUAUAUUUUCUCGUGCACUGACAACUAAUGCUUUCACUAUUUCAGUAUUGUUCUGAAGCCUGCAUUGCUAUGGCCUGUGAAGCAGAGAAGAAAUGGGAAAUAAAGGUUAGUGCCUGAGUGAGAGGCUCCAGUCCGGACCAGAUAUGGCCACUUCUGCAGGAUUUUUUCAACCUCCACGAGUGGCUCUCCCCAUGAUGAUGUGUGCUACGGAGUUGGAGGCGUAUCGGGUCAGCUUGGCUGCAUACGAUAUUCUGCUGUCAUUAAAAUCUCCAAGGACGGUUCGGAGGAGAUGGUCACCAACUGGGCUCUGGAGAAGCUGCUCGCUAUCAAUCCUGUCAACAAAAGCUUCAGCAAUGAGAUCGUGGAUAGUAAUAUGAAUGGGUUCAAAUCUUUAGUGGCAACAACUGAACUCACACAAGUGAAAGAUGCUGAAAAAGAAGCAACCGCUAUAACUUGGUCCUUUGUUGCAAAUCCAAUUGAAGGAUGGACUGAGAAAGGUCUGACAGAGUUCUAUGGUUCUGCUCUCCAACGCAUGGCAGAAAGAAUGGAGGCUGCUCUAUCCACACAAGGGGCAUAAAUCUCACUUGUCAUGUUUGUCUUUCUUGCACAAAUGCAUUGAUAGGAUAUUUCCAAUAAUCUGGGCAACUGUGAAGGAAAACACAAUAUUUGUAUCAGAACUGGCUUCUAGGCUCACAUAUUACUAGAAAAAGUUCUUCCCUCUCUGCAGAAGGACUAAAGUGUCUGUUGAAUUGCAAAAUAACAUUGAAGGUUGACACAUGGAGCCAUUCAAUUUCAGAUUAGAAUUCUUGUAAGUAGGGACGAAGUUACUGUUUUUCAAGUCAAGUUUCUUCUGUGUGGUAUUUUGUGGUAAUGGAAUAUAACAGGAACACUUUGGAAGAGACUGGAAUUUAAUUGCAUUGCAUAGGUGACUUUCUGCCGUUGGAUACAGAAGGUGUGCAACUUGUUGAGCUGCGCUCUUAUAUACAUGUGCAAUAGCAUGAUUGGAGAUGUGGCAUCUGGCUGUUAACCAAAUGAUCGGAGGAACAUUGUCUGUAACAGUCAUCUCUUCAAUUAUAUUAAUUAAUGGUCUGCAAGGGAGAUAACUAACUGAUAGCUGUAAAUUCCUCUUCUGAUACCAUCCAGAAUGAAUUGACUGUAAACCGGGACCAACAGAUCUGCCAGGAGGAAUAUGACUCAUCUGACAGAAUGGGCUCUAGAAACUAUGAGCAACCUGCCAUAAGAAACCUUGCUGCUUUUCUCCACUAAAUUCAUCAGAUUUCCAGUCUCUGCCUUGUCUGAAGCAGCUCACAUACUAUUAGCACCGUGAACGUCAAUUCAUUAUCAUAGCUUCUUAUCUGACGUGAUCGAGUCAUUUAAUGCUUUUUCCCAGUAAGAGAAAAUCCAAAAGAUUCUUCUUGAUACAGUACCUCACCAAGAUGUGCUCAUGAAUUGGUUUCCUUCUUAUUAAGUUAGGCUAAAAUCAGCUAGACACUAUUGCAUUGUUGGCUCUUGCAAUACAAGGGCGAAAAAAGACUUUCCUCCAAACCACACAAAAACUUUCAUCACUAUGGCUUUCCAAAGAAGAAAAGGACACUUGUGAAGAUUGUGGGAACUAAACUUUGAAAAUUCCAGGGUGUCAUCAACUAACCACUAUUUCGCAUAGUUAUGAAAACCGAGAACUUCAAUCUAUCAACUAUCAUUCUGAAUUUGUUGCCAAGCUAUAACCUGGAAGCUUAGCAAGUCUUCUCUGCUUCAUCACCACUCUCAUUUCCUCCACUUCUUUCCACAUACCUCUGCUGGCAUAAAUAUUAGAUAAUACCACAUAAACACCGUCGUUCCACGGUUCCAACUCUUGCAAAUGCUUAGCCACCCAUUCACCAAUUUCCACGUUCUCGUGCUUCUCACAAGCACCCAACAGACAUCCAUAAAUAAUCGAAUUUGCCUUCAUCGGCAUCCCUUCCACCAUUUCUUUAGCCUCAUCAAACCUUCCAGCUCGACCAAACAGAUCAACCAUGCAACCAUAAUGCUGUAAACGAGGCCUUAUUCCAUAAUAUUUCUGCAUCAUAUCAAAGUAACGUUUUCCCUCUUGCACCAUCCCUCCAUGUACGCAAGCACUAAGUACUCCAACAAAGGUCACAAAAUUAGGCUUCACGCCAGCCUCCCUCAUGCAACGGAAGCAUUCAAGAGCAUCACUUACCAGCCCGUGCAUCGCAUAACCCACGAUCAUAGAAGUCCAGGAUGAUACGUUUCUUUCCUCCAUCCCAAGGAAAACUUUGUAUGCUAAGUCCAUCCGACCACAUUUACCGUACAGGUCAAUAAGGGAGUUGAACAUCAAAAUAUCAGCUUUCUCACUAUUUUUUAGCCUGAAAACAUAUUUGUGCAAUUGAAGUGCCAAAUCUAGGUCCCCAAUGCUUCCACAAGCCGAUGUUACACUGACCAAAGUCACGUCAUCCAACACGAAACCACUUCUCCGCAUCUCUAUAAACAGGUCGAUAGCUUCCCUGGAGCGCCCACCUUGGGCAAGACCUGCUAUCAUGGCAUUCCAAGAACCCAACUUUCUGUCAGCAUUUUCAUCAAACGCCUUGCGCGCAUCACCGAAAUCUCCCGCCUUGGCGUACAAACUGAUGAACCCGCUCUCGCAGAACUCAUUACACUCCAACCCAUGUUUCACGGCGACACCAUGGACCUGCCUGCCGGCUUCAAAAUCAAAAGAUUGGCACACCGUUUUCUAGACAAUCGGAAGAGUGUAAGAAUCCGGCGGAACGCCCGCUCUCGCCAUGAAAGCGUACACAAGCAACGCCUUUCUCGGGGCGUCUAGCCUCGCGUACGCUCUUAUGACGUUGUUCUAGUGAAACGCGACGGGAUUCGAGUCCAACAAGCGGAAGCGGAUCACGUGGGCGUGUAUCCGGCUCAACCCUCGCCUGUCAUCGCAUUCGGACAAAAGGGUCGCCACCAUCUUGGCGUGGGCUUGGGUCGAGCUCGGCGAAUCGGGCUGCUGUCGAGAUUGCGCGAGGGAAGCGACGGAAGACGCAUUGGCUUCGUGGGUGCCGCCGUGAUCGAGAGCGCAAGAGGUGGAGAGCCGUCUUCUUGAGCUGAAGUUGGAGAGCUCACGUCGAAGGUGGCGAAACGAGAUCAUGCGCUACACGAUUUCAGCGCGCAGCUCUCGAGUCGAUCAAAGCAACGAUCGCCGCAAGGAAAACACGAUCGGCAACGUUCGCUAAUGCUCCUAGAAACAUUUCCAGUACAGUCACGACAACCCCGCCUUUGUCGUUAACUUUCUGACAUGAGCAUGCGUCGCGCGCAUAAUUUUCAGGGGUGAAAGUUCUUACUUUUUUUUUUUCCUUUCUUUUUUACAAUUAUGAACUAUAUGUAAUUAAGAAGAAUUUUGAAUCACUGGAUUUGCGCUAAUAACAGGAGGCGAACGGUGUAAAUUUCCACAUUCUUAGCCGUGGGGAAGGAAGGUGAGGGGCUUGAAUCUUUGCAUUCUUAGGAAAUUAAGAUGGGGAUGAGUUAAUGUCACGUGUAUGUUUUGACUCACACAUAUUGGGAGAAAGUAUGGUACAAGUAUGAAUCUGAGAUUUAAAGUAGGAGUAGAGUAGGAUCAAUUAAAAAAAAGAAUUAUGAAAUAUUUUAAAAGAAUAUACAUAAAAUAGGAAUAUGUAAUAAAAAAUUUGUGCUUAUUAGUUAUAAAGAGAUGCAAGAUUUCCAAAUCGCUCGAAAUUAUCAUGAUUGAAUGAUUGAACUCAUUAUUACUACUAAUCUAAAGUGCUAAAUUCAAGAACAAGAAAUUAAAAAAUUAUGAAAGCUUCAAAACAUAGAAAAUAUAUUUGACCCGCCUUGAUAGAACGUAAGUUCGGGAAGAUCAAAUGCAACUUUUUAAAAUUCGGGGUUGAACAUGCACCAACCUCUAGUUUGAGGGGGGUAAAUAUGAAAUUUUCCCUAGAAAAGGUUAUGAGGAUUUUUCUUUUUUUGGGGUCAAAAAGCUUAUGAGGUUUGAAAGUGUAUCUCAAUCUAUCUCGCAUCCAACAAGGAGCCCCUCUGCACAGAGAAACUGCCUCAUAAUGCCAGAUUCUGAGCGUAGGGAAUGCGAAGUAUCAAAUUUCGAAAUUAGAAAACACAAAGUGCAAUAUUGGGACACUUUUCGGAAUAUUUUUUUUUUAAUUCUACCAAUACUUUUUUCAGUCUCAUAUCAGAAGAUAUGUUAAACAAAAUGGCAAAAAAACCGUUAUAUCAAGAUGACAUUAUCGUGUUAGUAAUAUUAUUCACGAAAAAAUUGUUGCUAAUAGAAUGGACAACACAAUUUAAAGAUUUAAAUUUUACAAAUAACAUCGGCCAGAAAAUUAAGAAUCAACCUAAUUCUGUUUCAAUAAAAAUCAUAAUUUUUGGAGUGCCAACUACCAACCAACCGCCAUUUAACGGUCUCCCAAAGAAUGACGCGAGGCGGCCGUCUUUCAAAUUUCACCGCCAUUUUCUUCACCAUUUAAGCACCUCUUUGCCCCGCUCCUCCACGUCCCUCCGUCGCUCCAUCUCCUUCCCCCCAACGCUCCCACGCUUUGGGUCCUCUCUUGCAGUCAUUGCGUAGCGAGAUCCCUGUAAGUCUCGACUCUCUUAUAUAACGAGAUUGCAGUUGGAAUUCGAAGGCUUCGACCUGUUUCAUAAUUUUCUCUUCGACUCCGGUUAUGUUCAAGAUCCAUAUCGAUCGCUUCAUAAUUUUCUCUUUGUCUGGGUAUUGGCCGAAAGAAUCAAGUGCUGGUUCGUGUUUAUCAUCGUGGUUCGGCGACGAGGAUGAGAUCAUGACAGGGCCAUGCUUUAUGUAACUAUCUCUUUCCUCUCGUGUUAUUUCUCCAGUCUCGUUCGAUGAAGUCUGAAAAUUGUGUGGACAUGGUAUUUUAUCCUGAAUAUUUCUUGUUCGUAUCUUUUCAGCCCAGACGUGGUUCAAGAAAACGUCUUUUGUGAAAGAUUCUUGGCAAUGCCACUUUCUUGAUUCCGGGCGAGGAAACAUCGCGACAUUUUUCUUUUCAUUCAUCUGCCCAAUUUAUUGUCUCUUUUCGCCUUCAUAAAGUGGGCGUAUGCUGAUCUGAUUCUUAUAGGUAGAAUCGAAAAGGUUUGUCAAAGCAGUUGACAUUUAUUGGUUGACGACUGAAUCGAGAGGGCCUUAUUGUAGGUUCCUGCUGCUAAGCAUGCACUAAGGAUGCUGUCAAAAAUGUGCUCGGCGACAUUACAGUAGUCGAUGGUACUUUUGAUCCUUUUCUUUUCCUUCAUCUGCUCAAAUUAUCAUCUCUUUUCACCUUUAGAAAGUGGUCGGGUGCUGAUCUGAAUAUUAUAGGUAGAAUUGCAAAGGUUUGUAAGCGGUCGACACAUAUUGGUUGACGACUGAAUUGAGAGGGCCUUGUUGAAGGUUCUUGCCGCUGCACAUGCACUGGAGAUGCUGUCCAAAAUAUGCUCGGUGACAUUACAGAUUUAAUCAAUGGCAUGCCUUGUUCUUGGCGAUUCUCGUUCCCUCGCGGGUGAACUUACUUUAACUACUAAGCUCUUUCGCUUAUUAUGGAUUUCUCCGGAUCUCAUCAGAUUCAGCUCAGGACCUGUGGAAAUGGAACUUUCGAAGAGCAUAACUACGGUAGGAAGAUUGCCAGUCAUACAUCAUCAAGAGAAUUUUCAUCUCCUCAUGCCUUUUUGAGUCCUGCAUAUCUCACUUGGUGAAAUAUCCCAAAAUCAUGUACAAUGAUUUUCAGGUAGUCUUCUUUUACGUCUUAUUAUAUAUGGACGACUAUUAUGAUAUCUUGCACAUGGCACCAAAACUUGUUGAUCUUUUAGGCUUGUUCAUGAAAAAAUGAACUGACUUGUCACAAGAAGCUUAAGACGAAAAGUUAAAGUUACACCCACCCAACCCACGUCUCUCUCCUUGACAUAGUUUGGGAGAGAUCAUUCUCAUGAGAUGGCCUUACACGCGAUGAAACUGGUGCGGAAGUGACCCCAACAUGUCCAUAUCUUUAAGGAUUUGAUAGACUCCAUGUGAGAUUUUUUAGAGUAUAGUGUUUAGACAUUUAUGCGGGAUUCUCAUCCAAUGCGUGAGUGCUAUGUUCACAUUGAUUAUUCAAUCUUACCUCCCAUGUUUUUUGACAUGAUAUAUUUUAAGCCCACUUUGUAUAAAAAAAUAACGUUGACAUUUAACAUAAGAUUUGAUGUAAUAUAUUGGACGACAAAUGAGAGUCUUGCAUAUAUAUGAUUCUACUUAUUGAUUUAAUAUGUUAGAAUAUUUGUUAGAACAUUCUAAAACUGUAAUCGAUUCUGUAAUUCUUGUUAUUUUCUAAAAUAACUAGUUUUUUUUUUGGUUAUAUUAAAUUAAUUACUUUCCUAUACACAUCGGUUUUUUUUUUUUGUAGUGUAAAUAUCCCUUGAUUGUAACACAUUAGUGUCAAGUAAUACAAUACUUUUUUUUCUUAUUAUUUAUCAAAGUCAAUCUUUUGGUCUCAGACUUUGUGCGAACUCAAGUUCUACUAUGGGGACUCUUUCACAUUUUUGUCCGCAUAGAGCUGUUCUGUUUAUUCGUGUCACCAUCGCAGCAUCUAUCCUUGUCCAUUGUCCACAGUUAUUGCCCUUGUCCCACAUUCCGUUGCCAUACUCACAGAGGAAUGCUAUGUCUCCUUUGUAAUGCGUGAUGGUCACACACUUGCCGUUGCGGGUGCCUUUGUUGCCGUUCAGGCUAGCCGAUCAUGGCGAUGGUGCCGUUGUGGCCAUGAGAAGCCCCAUUCAGAGAUGAAAUGAGGAGGAGGGAGACGGAUGGUGGUGAGGAUGGAGUUGGUAUAAGUGUGGAGAGAGACAAAUUCUUUCCACCUAACUUUCGGGCCCAGUCCCUCGAACUUAGCCCAAAAUUUAAAGGUUCCUUUGUCACAGGAGAUAUGCAAGAGAAUAUUCUCAUUUUUAUAAUUAAGAGUGUAAUCAAAAGAUGGAAUUAGAGAGAAAAUCCCCGAGAGCUUGACAAAUUUUGUGAGGUCAAUACCAAUUGUUCUAAAAGGUUAAAUUUAUAAGUAGAGAAAGACCAUAUAUAUAUAUAGAGCAUAUGAACUUGUAGUCAAGGGACGUGGGAUACUAAAACAUCCACUAACUUGUAAGCCAAGUUAGGAAGGACAUGUGCAAUUUUAUGAAUGGAGGUCGCACACAUGAAAUAAUCUAGGACAAAACUUGACUUUGAUACCAUGUUAGGUUUCGUGAGACCAUUGUCGAGCUUUUACAUCAAUCUUUCUAACACGGUAUCUCGUCCACCCUCUUCCUUUUACAAUCAUGGAGAACCAAUGCAUCGGCUUCCAGCAAUCCUCAUCUGAUGGCUAUGGCUUCUAAUGGUACAGUUAGAGUUGAACACUAGCAAAAUUUUCCUAGGGUUUACGGGGCAGAGGAUAAGGUGGCAACUUGCUUACUCAAAGAAAGCACUCAUGGUGCCUCAUGCUUACGUGAAUUAUUUCCUCUCUCAUUUGGUUCACGGCGAAUGGUCAGAUUUUAAAGAUGAAAAGUUAAAGUUACACCCAACUCACGUCUCUCUCCUUGACAUGUUUGGGAGAGAUCAUUCGCUGUGACGAGAUGCGAGGUGAGAGAAAUGAAGGUAAUAGGCGCUAAGAACCAACCGUAUCUUGGCAAGCCGGUCGCAACCACAGCGGGGUUCCUCCUCCAUUUUGCUUGAUCAUGGAACUUAGGAGUGUGCAACCGGACCGGGUAUAUCUAGUUCCCGGACCAGCCCACCCGGAAAAUAGGGUCAGGAACCGGUUCCCAAAAAUCAUAACCGGUUUAAACUGGUCCGCGAAUAAGUUUCGAGUGAUUACCCAUCCGGAAAUCGGUUCCUGGACCGAUUUUGGAACCGGUUCCCGGACCGGGUUUGUAAGUGGAGUUCCAAAACCCCUUUUUUUUUUCCAUCGAUUUCUAUUUUUACUCUCAUAAUCACACGACGUUUUUCCUCUUGGCUCUUUCAAACACGCACAACACUCCUUGUUUGUCAUUCUUCUUCCUCACUGGCUCCCUCUCGCACCGUCCGAUGGACGGACGGUGUUCGUCGUCGCUAAAUUCUUGUGUAUCACAUGGAUUGACUCGUCUAAUUUCUCUUUUGUAAGAGGAGUUAUACUUGUAUAAAUGAGUAGCUUCAUGUAGUAAUUGUGGGAAUAAGAUUAAUAUUGAAUCUAUGUUUGUUACUAAUUAUUUGCCUUAUGAUUUUAUUUAUUAUAAUUAGCCUUGUGGAUCCUUAAUUUUUCGUUUAGUCAAAUAGUUCAUGUGUUUAUUUAUUAUAAGUGUUUAAUGUUCCAAUACAAAUUAUGAGGAUUACGUUAUUUUCUCACGUAUUAAUAUAAAAUUCAAAGUCAUAUAGGAUAUCGAGAGAUUGUAAAAUAAGUUCUAAUAGAAACAUGAUUGACCUUAGAAACAGAUUGAAAAAACUUGGUGAGUCGGAUACAGGAUCCAAUAUAAACAAGGUUGGGUAUAGGGUCCAAAAAAGAGGAACCGGUUAUAACAUGGUCGGGUACAAGGUCCAAAUCUAGAUCCUACCCACCUUGGAUCCGAUCACCCCUAAAUUGGAACGAAUUUGAGCCUCUCUCUCUCUCUAUCUUCUCGAAUUUCCUCCUAAAUUUGCUAAACUUUCCUUCUUUUUCUUUCUUUUUGGUUGAAGAUUUUGGAUCUACUGUAGAGUUUUCUCAUUUCUCUAUCGUAAAAAUGAAAAUUGUUUCUUACCCUUUUUAAUCUUGCCCGCAUAUGACCCAAAAAAGGAAAGAAAUCUUGCCAGCAGAUUGCUCUGUUCUUUGAAAUUUCUCCCUUUUUUUCCAAGAUUUUUUUAUAUUUUUUAACAGUAAAUAUAGUCAUAUUACAUCAUCAGUCACCACUGCCAUCACUAUCAUCUCUCCGAACAUCACUCCUCCAAAAACAAAUCUAUAAUGAAAAGCUUUCACUUCUGACCAAAAAAAAAAAGGAUGUUGACACCGCCAAAUGUCGAUGACGAUGCAACUUCGGAAUUUACGAUGAUUGACCGUCCCCAUUUUCUCUAAUUUCUCCGAAUCACGAGCACAAAAACCACCAGCACGACCUCCACACGACAACCAAAAAAAAAAUGGGAACUCGCGCGCUAAAAAGAACAUCACUGACCGCGCGAAUUCAUCACAGGCGAACGGGCCGGGCUUUGAUCACUCAAGGAGACGCGACCGAUCUUCGACGGAGACGGCGAGGUAGGAGAGCCGGCGCCGUUCUCGACAAUGCGGGAGAUCAGACCGUCGAUGGACCACUUGAUAUUCGUCGCGGCGGUCGCCCUCAGGACCCGGAGCGCAGCCUCCUCGCCGAGCGCGGCGAGCUUCCUCCGAGUCCACGCGUUCGGGGGAGGCUGGUUCUGGUCACUGCAGAUUCGGCGUAUCGCGUCCUCGACGGGAAGAGGAAGCGGCACGAACUGCGUAGGCGGGAGCGGAAGAAGGUGGAGGAGUGCUCAUGGCGAUCGACCGCGACGGAGACACUGAAGUGGAGCUACUGCUGUGCGAUUUUGUUCUGGCGGUGUUUGAAUUUUCCGGGAAAAUUAUGGAAUCGAGAUGGAAAGUGGGCGACUCCUUUUCCUUUCGUUUUCUCGCGGUUUUGGAGUUUCGGUACGGGGGAGAGAAAAUGCGGAGGGAAGCGUGAAACUGGGAAUGCUGCGACGUUUGCUUCUCCCCGUUCGGGUUCGAUCGCGUCGAAGGUCUUGUCCAGUUGUCUGAACCAGGGAGCGGGAUAAUUGCACGUGUCUGUUUUCGCUCCAGAGCGAAAUCUUUGUACUGAAUUUUUCAUUUCAAACGUUAUAAAUAUCCUUUAAAAUUCAAAUUUUAUUUGAAAUUACCCGCGACAUCACAUCUAAGCUCCGGCCCCCCGGGGGGGCGGGGCCCACAUGAAAAGUGUACCGAUUGAAGGUAACAUUAAAGUAUAAUUGAAUUAUAAAUUUAUAAAAUAAACUUAUCUAAAGUAUUUUCAUUAGUUUGGUCCAAUUUAAUUAAUGAAAAAUGUUGAUUUUUUUUUUAAUAUUUUCUAUUUUUUACGUGACAAGAUGUCAACCGUUAGUGAUAGCCAAAGGGUAAGGGCAGGCAAGUGUUACCGAUUCUACCAAGUGAUGGUGGAGCACUAUUUUUUUUUUCUAAUUUAACUUAUAUUUUAAUUUAAUUUAAAUAUAAUCUAACAAGAAAAUUUGAAUAAAAAAGACGUCAUUUUUGUCAUGUCAUUGCCAUGUACGAUAAAGAAAUAAACAAAAGAAAUCAUAUUAAUAUUUUCUGUUAAUUAAGUUUGAUUGAGUUAACGAAAUAACUUGAUUGUACUUUUAUGAUAAGUUUUAGAAUUUUCAAUACACUUAUCCUGAAAAUUCAUAUAUUAUGAAAGUUCCAAGCAUUUCGAUUUAUGAAGAAAUCAAAUUGGGUCUACCGUGAAAUUUAGAUUAAGCAAAAAGUAAGACAAACCAUGAUAUGGAAAAGUUCUUUUUGCUUUGGAAAUUCAAUCUUGCAAUUUACAAUAUCUAUUUAUUGAUAACCCUUCAUCUCUCACCUUUCGGAAUUGUGGAUAUUGUCCCAACACUAAAUAAGAUUUUUAACAUGUACUUUUAAUAUAUAGAUGCCGUUAUGUUGUCUUCGAAGACUACUAUAUGAAUUAUUUUUUUGGUCGGUCUAUCAAAUGAAUUUAACAUAAAUAAAAGUGGGCCAGUCGCAAAUUCAAAAUAGAUCUAAAAUAAAAGUCACACUAAAGAUCCCACUUUUAAUAUAUGGCUAGUUCAACACACUCCACGAAUCUCACACGAAUGAAAUCAAAAUUACGAUAUCUCAUGCUAUAACACGAAAAACAAUUUAUAAGUAUGAUUACGACACACGAUAUGGACAAUCGAUCCUGAAAAUCUCUAUGAAGAAGAGAGAUAGUUGUUUGCACCGUUUCACACCAACGCUGUCCCUUUGAUACUUUUUUGUCAAUUUCAUAUUAUAAAAAUUAGUAAAAAAGAUUACACUGGGAUUUUUCAAGAAAUUAUUAGUACGCUGCAUUAAACAAAAAAAAACUAAAAAUGUGAAAACUACGAAAUUAGGAUAAUAAAAGUGAAAAAUCUAAAGAUUCCAUAAUGAAAGUCCUGAACAGGAGAUCUUGGAAAAGGGGGAUUCCAAGGUACAUUAGGGGUUGUUUGGCAAUGUGCCAAAUAGUACUUGAUUUUGAUUUUUUUAUUUCCGGAAGUAGUUUUGGAACAAAAUCGCGUUUGGUAAAAUUUUUGUUCUUGAAAACAGAUUUGGAGUAGAAUCAAGAAUAAAUAAAAAAAAAAGAAGUUGAUUCUUGUUCUAGGAACAAAUCUGAGAAUCAAAACCAACUCUUUUUCUUCUUCUUCUUCAUCAAUCACCAUCUCGCGAUUGCUGCCCACCAUCGUUCGCCGCCACCGGUCGUCGGAGGCUCGCUAGGCCAGGGUGAGGUCCGGCGAGCUCGCCGAAGGCAAGCCCAGCCAUCAGCGAGGCUGGGCAAGCCUCAUGACACCUAGCCCUGCCGGUGGCUAGGUGAGGCUCGCCCAGCCCCGGUGAGGUCAACCCGGCCACCUGCAAGGCUCGGCGGGGCUGGGCGAGCCUCGCCCAGUUGCUGGCGAGGCUCGGCCAACGAGGGCUGGCCUCGCCGAGGGCCGAUGACGCUCCAGUGAGGUUACUGGUCGUCAAUCUGGCGACCAGCCACGAGAAGAAGAAGAAUAAUAGGAGAAAAAGAAAAGAAAAAAGGAAAAAAGUAAAAUAUUUAUUUAAAAAUUAAAAGAAAUUGAUUUGGAACAGAAUCAAUGAGCACGAUACCAAACGCAAUUCUAUUCCAGAAUCAGAAAUUUUGAACAGUUACCAAACGGCUUAAAAUGUUUAGAAUUUAUUCUCGGGAACAUAAUAAAAAAGAAUCAUUUCUGAUCAGAAUCUACUCUUGGCAACAAAAUCGUUACCAAACGUGCCCUUAAUGUUAGUAAAUGUGCUAAAAAAAGAGACAAAAUGCUAGGAACGUAAAGAGGACCAAAAGAGAGUGGGGGGGGGGGGGGGUGGGGGGAGCGCUAAAAGGAAAAGCGCAGGCAAUCCUCCACUUUAACCAAACACUACUGCACUGAUCAAAAGACAGAAUAAAGAUUACUUACAUGAGGAGUUUGCCAUGCUUCCAAGAGAAGUUUUCUUCGAGAAGUUUUCGGUUUCUUAAGAGAUGCUUACUCCUUUUAACAAUGUUGUAAUUUUGCAUUAAAAGUCAUACUUUAUAGUUCUUCCCCUUUUUGAUAUAACUCCAACAAAUUGUAAUUUGACCGAUCUUGUUGUAAUCUAAUUUUUAGAGUUCAUAACACCAGUCAAUAAUCUUGAAAUAGUCAUUUAUCUUAAAUUAUCGUAAGAGAAAUGAACUUAUCAUUACUAAUUGAGGGUCAAUAAUCCUCAGUUACUUUACAUUUGGUGACUUCUAAAUAUUCUCACUAGUGGUUAGUUAUUCAUAAUGUUGUAAUUUUCCAAUCAAGUAUCUGAAAUACGUUGGCGUUAAGUUUUGGGGUUUGGUCAUUGCCAUACCUACAGAGGAAUGCCAUGUCUCCUUUGUCGUGCAUGACGAUCACGCACUUGUUGUUGGGGGUGGCUUCGACAUCGUUCAAGCCGGCCGGUCGUCAUGGCCAUGAGAAGCCCCGAUCGGAGAUGAAAUGAGGAGGAGGUGGGAGAUUGAUGGUGGUGAGGAUGGAGUUGGUAUCACUGUGGACAGAGAAAGAUUCUUUCCACCUAAAUUUUGGGCCAAGCCUGGUCUCUCAAACAUAGCCCAAAAAUUUGAAGGUAUUGUUAUUGCAAAGAGACGUAUUAAAAUACUGUUGAUGUAAAAAAGAGAUGCAGGAGAACAUUUUUCUUCUCUACAGUAGAGUAUUUUUAUAAUUUUGAGUGUGAUUUGUUUAUUAAUCAAAAGUUUGGAACCUGAGAGAAAGAUCGCUAGGAGCCUAAAAGAUUUUAUUAGACUAAACCAAUUGUUUUAAAAACUUAAACUUAUAGAUGGAGGAAGACCAUAUAUAUAGAGAUCAUAUGAAUCCAUAAUCAAGGAACGCGGGAUGAUAAAAUAAUUACUGACGUACAAGCCAAUUUAGGAAGGGCCUGUGGAAUUUUGCGAAUGGGGGAAAUAAUCUGGGGCAAAACCCAACUCUAAUAUCAUGUUAGGUUUAUUGGAACUGUUGCCGAGCUUUUAAGUAGGUUAUUCUAAUAUGAUGAUAUCUCGUCCAUCCUCCUCCCUUUUACAAUCAUGGAGAACCAAUGCACCAGCUUUCGUUGAUCCUCUUUCGAUAGCUAUGGCUAGGAAUCUGUCCAUACCACUAAAUGCUAUUAGUGUCCUCUAUUGGAGGUGAAAACUAUUAUGUUGCCUGAUGCUUACGUUUGGUCCUUGCCACACUUCCAGAGGAAUGCUAUGUCUCCUUUGUGGUGCGUGAUGGUCACACACUUGCCGUUGCGGGUGCCUUCAUCGCCGUUCAAGCCGGCCAGCCGUCAUGGCCAUAAGAAGCCUCGAUCAGAGAUGAAAUGAGGAGGAGGAGGAGGAGGGAAACAAGUGGCAGUGGGGAUGGAUUUGGUAUCAGUGUGGACAAAGAGAGAUUCUUUCCACCUAAAUUUUGGGCCAAGCCCAAUCCCUUGAACAUAGCCCAAAAUUUGAAGGUAUUGUUGUUGCAAGAGACGUAUUAAAUUAUUGUUAAUGUAAAAAAGAGAUGCAAGAGAAUAUUUUCUUCCCUACAUUAGAGCAUUUUUAUAAUUUGGAGUGUAAUUUAUUUAUUAAUCAAAAGUUUGGAACUCAAGAAAAAGAUCUCCAGGAGCCUAAAAGAUUUUGCAAUAUCAAUACCAACUAUUCCAAAAAAUUAAACUUAUAAAUGCAGGAAGACUAUAUAUAUAGAGAGCAUAUGAACCCGUAGUCAAGGGACGGAAAUAAUAAAAGACCCACUUGUGUACAUGUCGUAUUAGGAAGGGUAUGUGGAAUUUUAUGAAUGGGGGAGAAAUAAUAUGAGGGCAGAACAUGGUACUAAUAUCAUGUUAGAUUUUAUGGAACUACUGUCAAGCUUUUAAGUUAGUCUUUCUAACAUAGUAUCUUGUCCAUCCUCUUCCUUCUACGAUCAUGGAGAACCAAUGCACCAGCUUUUGUCAAUCCUCUUCCGAUAGCUAUGGUUAGGAAUCUGUCCAUAUCACUGAAUGGUAUUAGUGUCCUCUACUGGUCGGAUCAGAGGUGAACACUAUCAUGGUGCCUAUCACUUACGUGAAAGACAUUUCCUCUCUUUUUGUUGGUUGAUUACCACAUAAUUUGGUCAAUUUCCUCUCUCGCAUUUAGUCCCCAACGAUUGGUCACAUCAUAAGAUGAAAAGUUAAAGUUACACCCACCCAACCCACGUCUCUCUCCUUGACAUAGUUUGAGAGAGAUCAUUCUCAUGAGAUGACCUUAUGCAAUGAAAUUUGUGCGGAAGUGACCCCAACAUGUCCAUAUCUUUAAGGAUUUGAUAGACUCCAUGUGAGAUUUUUUAGACUAUAGUGUUUAGAUAUUUAUGCGGGAUUCUCAUCCUAUGCGUGAGUGCUAUGUUCACAUUGAUUAUUCAAUCUUACCUCCCAUGUUUUGACAUGAUAUAUUUUACAACCACUUUGUAUCAAAAUAACGUUUACAUUUAACAUAAGAUUUGAUUUAAUAUAGUGGUCAUUAACCCACUUUUGAAAUAUUAGUUUAUGUUCAUUUUAUUCCUUAGGCUAUGUGAAAUCAAUAUAAACGAAAAGACUCCAUUGAACAUUUUACAAAUAGUUUAAUGAUUAUAUUGAAUAAAUUAAAAGUGUUGUGAUAAGAUUACAUAUUUGAUAAAAAUUUAGUGAUCAUCAAAUCAAAAAUCAUGGAUUUGUGAUAUCAUUCUUUUAAGGCUAAGACAAAAUGCAACAACACUAGGAAAAUGGAUGAUGGGAUUUCAAAUACAUGUUUAACACAUGUUAUCAAUUGUUUCCCAUGUGGUCUUGAUUGGAGUGCGAUGUCCUGUCUUUUUCAUGACUCCAUAAGCCUGAGCCUAAGCCUGAGCCUUCCUCCCUCUCACUGUCGUUCGUGAUAACAUGGAGUACGAAAAUGCGAUUGUCAGGUUCGGUGACCUUGACCAAAGCGCACGUCAGCAGCUCCCUACUUUGCGAGCUUAAUGCCGACCGCCACCAUCUGGUCUCCAUGAACUUCGGUUGGAAGCUCUAGGCGGCGACUCCGCUUGGCAGCAUUUUAUCGUGUGCGUGCGAGCUUCAAGCAUCGCGUUGGGCUCGUUGAGGCUGAAGAAGAGGUGAGCUGUCCAACUUUGACACUAUUGAGUGAGGGAAGCGCCAUCUUUCAUGUGCCGUGGUUGCUCUAUCAUGAGGAACGUCCAAAGGCGCUCAGAUGCUUGGCAACGGGUCUUCUUGUCGUUCGUGCAGCGAAAUUUGUUCAUAAAUUACAUCCAAUAUGUUAUAGUGUUGAAGUUGAUUAAAUGUUGUGAUAAGAUUUGCUUAUAAUUCCAUCAUGAGAUCGAGAGAUUAUCUCACGAAGAAUUGUGAGGUUUAAAUACUACGCGCGUUAUUGGGUGUAAUUGGAGUUUUAAAAACACCGUAAGUAUUUGAGUAAUUCGAGUAUAUAAUCUCCAUGUAUCGCUUGAUUUAUAGUGGAAUUCGUCACCGCUCUCCCUGCAAACAUAGAUCACCAUGAUUGAACCAUGUAAAUUUAGUGUCUCAUUUAUUUUCUUGUUUUGUCUAUUUUAUUGUUCGAUCGCUCGCGUUCUGCAAUAAUCAUGAUACCAUUCCUUUGCAGAGUUAAUGCAUCAUGGCUAGGCUAUUUCAUGCUUUUCUCAUAAUGAUAGAAUCAGAGGCAACUGGCCGUGCUUUCACGAAUUAGCACCUCAUUGCGACACAAGUGUGCAAGGGAUCAUCAAAUGGGUUUAGCAUUAGUAAGGGCUCAUGUCAACAUCUGUUUUGGUGCACUGGCCUCAUGUGGGCGGAUCUCUUAGGACAAUUUUAGGUUUGUCGAGGAGCCAUGAGUAGAAUUGUGAUGAUAGAAAAAUAUAACAUUCAAUCCAUACUAAAUGAAGAAUACAUUUAUGACAUGGUUUUCUAUAUUAGCAAAAUAUCAAUUAGAAUCAAUCAAAAUGAAUUAAGAGAAAUAUACAAAAAUCCCAUAAAUAUAUCUAUAUUUCUAAUGCAGAGGUCAACUUGAGUUUUGAGAAAAGAUCCAACAGAUGAAGUAGAAAUACGUCCAACGGUGCCACAAAGAAUAUAAUAUUUAAUGAAAUGCAAUUUAUUUCAAUGUGCAUAGUUUUAUUCGUGGAAAACAUCGAAUGUAUUGUCAAAAGAGCCAGCUAAAAGAGUCGGAAAAGCACCUACAAGGCGACGGGCUUCAGUGUCUUCGAGACGUGGCAGCAUGUGUGGUGGCGUACGACUGGCUUCGUGAUGGCUACGUGGAGUGAUGCGGUUCACACAUGACGAUAGGGUGAAGAAACGAAGCGACGAAUGCACAUUGUUAGAAACAAACUCGAUAUUUCGUUCAAUGAUGGCUCUGACACUAAAUUAUGAUGACUUAAAAAUGUAAUAUUCUUUUUAUUACCAAAUGAAUAGUACAUAGGCUUCACAAUAUGACUAUCUAAAGUAGCAAAACAUUAAUUACAAUCACCAAUCAAGUAAGAGAAAUACACAAAAUCUCCUAAAUAUAUCUAUAUAUCUAACACCAAUAUUCUCAUGCACAUCCUGACAACCAUUCUUUUAGUAUUUGUGUUAGGAUACACAUGUGAGUUGUGUUAUAGAAAUUUUACAUUGAAAAAUUGAUAUGAUAUACAACAGUUAAUAUAUCAUAGUUGAAUCAUAACUUAUUGACUUAAAUUUUUAGUUAAAGGUAGAUUUAAUUGGAUUAUUUGAUCAAUUCAGACUUGUGGCGAUCUUCUCGAAAGAAGGUACUUGGCAAGUUGGUCAAGAUUGCGAUUCUUGAUACUUUUAAUCAAAUAUUUGAUUUUCUUGGUAACAAGCAAUAUGUGUUACUUGUAGGAAGGCAUUUUCGGAUUACAAAACUUCAAGUCUUCAACAUGCUCUCUCACUCUCUAUAUAAACCUUGAUGUCCGCAGCUCAAAAACACAAGCCUAAUUUGCCUUCAUCUCUCUCUCUCUCUCUCUCUCUCUCCACUUUGUUUGAAGAACUAACAAAGCCAAAAUGGAGUCUGCAAACAUUGAUCGUGUGACUUCUGAGAUGAACCAAACCCAACCAAAAUGGCAAGGCCAAGCUUGUGCAGACUUGGCAGGUCCAAAGGCAGACCAAAUAUGGCCCUUCGUGGAGGACUUCUUUGGCCUCAAAAGGUGGUUCCCGACCCUCACUGCUUGCACCGGGGUCGAGGGCGUCCCUGGCCAGCCUGGGUGCAUCCGUUACUGUGCUGGGUUCAAUAAUGCCCCGUUCGACCGGGCCAUCGGCCAGGCCAAGACAAGCACCCUGUAUUGGGCGAAGGAGAAGCUGUUGUCGAUCGACCCAGUCGCCAAGACAUUAAGCUAUACCAUCAUAGACAGCAAUAUCGGGUUCAACUCCUACGUAGCCACAGGCCGAGUCGUGCCUAAGGAAGAGGGGUGUUGCAUCAUGUGGCGGUAUGAGGUCGAGCCCGUGAACGGCUGGAAACACGAGGACUUGGACCAGUGGUUCGAGUCGGCCUUGCAGGUCAUGGCCAGGAGCAUGGAGAAGGCUCUUCUCGGUCAAGCAAACUGAUCUCGUCUGAAUCUGAUGAUUUGCUUCUGUACUCGUAUGGUAGUCUCGGGGCUGAUUGAUGCGGUGUGCAAUAGUACGUAGUAGCUCUCUGAUAUUUUCGCGAUAAUUCGUAUGGGAGACAUUUGAUAUAAUUUAUAAAAGUUGAUAAUUUUUAUUCGUCGGGUUCGGUUUCAUAAGAUUGGUCACUAAUCACUAUUCCCCAUUUGCAUUGGAUUCGGCCGACUGGAGGAAUUUUUCCUUUUUGCCAGAAAAAUGAGCGAGAGUUAUAUUUGCUCAAACUGAAGAUGUGAUCAUACAUGACCGACAUAAUCUUGAGGCUAUAAUUAUUUCACGGAAUAUAUAACAUUUCUAGAAAAUAUUCUAAGAAAGUCAUUUUCUAAAAAGAUGACGAUAUUUUCCAGUAUUUGAUUAAAACUUGAAAAUGAACUGAAAAAUAUUUUAUUUCGUUUCUUGUGAAAAUAUAAUUUGAUUUUCUUAAAUAGACAUACAAUAUUCGAGCUUUAGUAAUUUACACAUGGGCAAUCGCGGAACCGAACACAGGCACUAGGGUCUUAGGUCUAGCCUUAGCGGACCCAAGCAUGGGAAUCGGGGUUCCCGGGCUCAACCUUGAUGGACCCAUGCACAGCCUUUGUGGACUCGGGCACGACCUUUGUGGAACCAAGCUCAAGUGUUGGGGAUCCGAGCUUGGCUUUGGUGGACUCAACCUUGGGUGUCGAGGUAUCGAGUACGGGCACUAAGGCUUUGGGCUUGGCCUUGAUGGACUCGAGCACAAGUGCAGGGGUCCUGAGCUCGGCCUUGAUGGACCUAGGCAGGGGCGUUAGAGAUUUGAGCAUAGACAUCGAGAUCUAAAGUUGAGUCUCAAUGAACUUGAGCCCAAGCCCGGGCGCCAGAGAUCUAGUUCUGGAUAGCGAGGUUUGGGAACCAGAGAUGGGAUCCUGGUGCCCAAGCAUAAAGUUUGGGUCCAAGCGUUGAUAUCUAAUCAUAUUUUGAAAAAUGAUUUCUAAUUUUUUUAAAAGAUAAAAUCAUUUUCUUGAAUCUAAAGAUUGGUUUUCCAUUAAUUAAGAAAUCAUUUUUCGCUAGCUAAUUUUUCUGAAGAAUGUUUUUCGCGAAACAUACCUAACUUGAGUUUAGGUAUCUUUCAAUUAACUUUGACAGGUCGAAUAAUGCUAUUUCAGACAAAUGCAGAGUAUUAAUACCUAAAUUUUGACAACUCAAUUAGUUGUUUACCGCAUUAAAAAAUGAGGGAUUAAUUUUUAACCCUUCAACAAAAAUAUUAGAAUUAAAUUGCAUAAUAUAUAGUUUUAGGAGCAUUUAUUAUUAUUAUUAUUGCAUUUGUAUUGGACCGGUGACGGAUGGAUUUAACUUAAUGGUUCUGAGCUUUAAUUUAACGAGUUGGACUAAGCUUACGGAGAGAGCGAAUUGGCCCGGCCCAUGGACAUUAUUAAUGGAGUCGAGAAUUGCACACGGGUAAUGUUUAGAAACAAUGGAGGCCGUGUAUAUUGCAAUUUCAACCACGAUGUAAAUCGUGAUAGGUUGUCGAACCGAUUGAAUUUGGUCCAAUGAAGAAAGCGGAGCAUUAAAAGUAAUUUCCUUGGAUAUUCUUAUUCUAGCAAUGUUGUAGGAAUAUCUGGGCAAUGAAUGACGACCAGAACCAGAAGUUUCACAUCAGCUUGCGAAGGAGAAUGAUACUCUAAUAUUUUCUUACAAAAUUGUGGAAUAUACUUCAUCGAUUCCUUUGUGGUUGCGGGUGCACAAUCUUGAAUUUUUGACAAUUAAAAAUAUGAGUCUUUCCUAUUUACAAACAAAGCGUUUAUUCUCAGCACAAUAUAUGGAAUCAACCAAUUCGUGAGCUGAUAUUUAGUUGAAAGAAAUAAAAUCGAUAGAGAAUAUUCAGCAUGCACGAUCAAAAGGAAAGAAAUAUGGACGAAUCGCCAAAAGAUGGACUCCCCGUCAAAAUGAGUGAAAAAAAGAGAGGACAAAUCAUGAUAUCUUCUAGGCAAUUAGAAAAGGAAAUAAGAUUUGCUUUCUUUCGUCGUAACCCAGCCCUCUGACAAGGAACUCUUCACGAUCAAAGCAAGGGGGGCCACGCGUUGAAUAUAUGGCCACAAUAUAGAGAGAAAACACAUGUGAGAGAGAGAGAGAGAGAGAGAGAGAGAGAGAGAGAGAGAGAGAGAGAGAGAGAGGGGAUGUUUGGCCAAACAUCAUGUGGCGGCGGCAACCACGGCUGAGCUUUACAUCACUUUCUGCCCUUCGUGCCGCCACGAGGCCAUGAUCCAUGAUCCAUUGCAGCGCCUCCUCGAGGUCAUGCACGAACUGUUCCCUUGAGAUCGUAUGGUGCUGUCAAGGAAGCAGCCACAUCCGAGAUACACACGACCACGUUGAGAGGGCUUCACACAGAUUCAAAGAGAGAGGGUCUUUCUCUCUGGGUCGACUUUAGAGGCCGCACAAGCAUAAAGGGACACAAAGAAAAAGCCAGUCCAAACCGCAUAUGAGCACGCCGCAGCAGCACGAUCGUGUCCGAACCAUCCCUGGCGUCGCACGCAAGACACCAUCAACCAUUGCCGUCAUACUCUAAAUUUCAUGGGCUCUCUUCGAAACUGGCAAACGCCAGCCUUGUCUUGUGAUUCCUACAAACCCAGCGUCGACUAGUCAGGCACCAGGCACCAACGUGAACAAAAAUAUCCCUUGGGAAAAUUUUCAAACUGAACAAGGUAAUUUUCAAAUUUCAUAAUUUCCAAAAAUACUAAAUGAAAUAAAUCUUAAUAAGAUAUUAAUAAAUAAAAUAAAGAGGUUAGUGCUAAUUAAACCGUGUCAAACUUGCGCACCACAUGCAGUUAUUGUGGGUCUAACCCACGAGCCAUUCUUUUUCUUUAAACAAACUAGAAGAAAAGUUGCCCAUCUCCUCCCAACUUUCUUAAGUGAGACAUGAAAAAAUCACCUUUUAUUUUUUUUACAAACAACCAACCAACCAAACAAACGACCAACGUCACAACGCAGCAUGGAAUCUUGCAACCUAUAUCCUCUAAACAAGAUCCACCACAUUGUCUCCGGUUGUCAACCUAGGAAAUAGCUGAUAUGCUGAUCUUUAUCUGAUGAAAAUUACUUUGCCGAAGCAUCAGGAAACCGUCCUUCUGCAGAAUCAGUCCAUCAUGACUAGGCUGUCUCAUGCUUUUCUCAAAACGAUAGAAUCGGAAACAACCGGCGUGCUUUCAACGAAUCAGCACCCCAUAGGGACAUGAGCAUGCAAGGGAUCAACAAAUCGGUCUAACAUUAAUUACGGCUCAUGUCAACAUCUGUUUUGGUGCACUGCCAACGCACCGUAUAUGUGCUUUCAGUAUUUGAACAUGCUGAGAAGUGCCUAUUAACAACUCCGUUAAGUCAGCUACUUCAUUCCUGGUUGCUGAAGUCUGAAGCCUGCAUAGUGAGAGAGGCAACGACCACUAAAGAUUUAAAAACACUACUAGGCGGGAUGAUUGUUUCUCUUGCUAGUAGUUGAGAAUUGUGAUGACAGGAAAAUAUAAUAUUUAGUUCCUACCUGUCGCGACCUAAAUUUUCAGGGCAAUCCUAAAGUUUAGGUUAAUGGAUUACUAAGUCCGAAAACUUGGCACGGACCCUCCCAAGUCCUACCAAUCGCGACUUGAUAGAAAUUAACUCAUUUAAACAUGCAAUUUCAAUUCAAUUUGGAGCCGCCACUAAUCAAUUAGGGUUUGAUUAGAAACCCAAAUAAAGUAUGGGAGAAUACUUUAUUUUUACGAACCAGAGAUUCAAUAAAUCCGGGGACAUGAUUACGCUAGAUUAAUCUAACGCCAUUUCGGUACCUUUUAUUUUAAUUUAAAAAAAUAUUUAGCAGGCAAUGUUAAUUAAUUUUAACCUAAACUACUAACAUGCAAAUGGUGGUCAUGCGGGUGCACAAUCAAUAAAAUAACAUUCAAUGAAAAAUGCUUAUAAAAAUGCAUGCCCUAAACAUGAUUUCUAAAUGACAAGACACCUAAUUUUUCUUCUUCUUUUAAAAAAAAAAAUGUCAAUUAUAUGCAAUCUUAAUCUAAAUUUAAUAUGCAUGGAUUUAUUUUAAUGACAUGCGAGAUGCAUUUCAUGUGACAUAAUUUAAAUCAUUACAAUAUGUAUGAUAUGAGAUAUAUGACGUCGUAAUUCUAUAUGCAUGUUCUUUUUUAUGAUUUUUUAAUGAUUUUUUUUAUUACACAUAUGCAACCUGCACUAACAAUGAUGACAUGAAAUGAGAUUGAUUAUGAGCUAACCUAUUAACUAACCAAAUAAAAGACUUUUGUGUUUUCUUUUUUUAUUUGAAAUGACCUAGUAAUUUUUAUUAAAAAGAAAGUAACGUAAUGAUACAAUAUUAAUUUUUUGGCAUUUUAUAUAUAUAUAUAUAUAAUAUGAGAAUGUUAAAACAUUAACUUAUAACCCACUAAUUAAAACGCAAUAUGUAAUGUGCACAUUAUGAAAUCUAUAUAACCUAAAUAACAUUUUUUUUUUGUUUUGGUUUUAUUAAAGGAAAAUCAUCCUAAUUCUACAUGAAUCUUAGAAAAAACAUAGAAUGCGAAGUUUUAUAAUAUCUAAAUUCUAGAUAUGACAUUUGAUGCAUGAUAUGUGAUGAGCAAAUAAUAAUAACACGCUAAAAUAAAAAUCCAUCCAUGUAAAUCAGUGGCAUUUUAAUAUGAAUCAAUGAUGCAAAGUAAUUCAUGAAUUUGUCAUGAAAAGUCAAAAUAGUCAAAAAUAUAACCCGAUGUCUCGCGGCUCAAUAUUUUUUAUUAUUAUGACUUAAUAUGACAAAUUUCCUAAUCGGAUAAAAAUAAAUCAAAACAAAUCAAUGUUAGAAUAAAAAAUUAUGAGCCUGAACACUCGAACCAAAUUUAGCCUAAAAAUUUUACCUAGCUUGGAAAAAUUAUCUUCAAGAUGGAAACCGGCGAAGAAUGAUGCCAAGUUCACCCUUCUCAAGCCUCAAGUGACCUGCAACAAAAACAGGGGAGGCAACAGAUGGCUCGUGAGCACAACAGCAGCGGAGACCGGCGGACGAGCUGGGCGCCGGAGUGGAGUGGCGUCACUUCGGGCAAGGGACGCGGUGACGGAGCUCGUGGGUACAGAGGCGCAAGCUGCGGCAGAGCGGAGGUGUGGCGUCGGCUGACCGUUGAGGACAAAGGCGAAGGCUGGCCGUGGACGUCAGGCACCGGCGUCACGACGGGGAGCGGCGGUGGUGCUGAUGCUCUUCGUCAGGCUGGUGGAGCGGAUUGGCGAGGCAGCAACAGUUUCGCAGGGGCGAUGGAGCUGGAGCAGUGGGUCGCUCGGAUUGCAGCAGCGGCGACGCGCGGUGCCUCGGGGUCGUGUUCCGGCACGGCAAAUCUGGGCAGAGGCGGCGUCGUGACUUCAGGGGCGCGGAGCAGCGGCGCGAGCUCGUGUGGAUCGGGGCGGAUCUGUUAGGCGUCGGAGAGGGCCACAGGCGUCGACGAGGGCUGAGGCGGAACGGCUAAACCGGUGGAGCAACGCGGCGGAGGUGCGGUGGCGGAGCUGGGUUGUCGGCUGCAGGGGCGUCACUCGAUCAUAGCGGUCGUCGGGGGUUGCACCAAUUGCAAGAAUGGCGGUGAGACCGGCGAACGGCAGACGGAAGUGCGGUGCUUGGAGCCGGCGAACGAAGCGGCAGUGGCAGUGGCGCAAUGGUGCGAUCGUGGGCUUGUAGUAGCGGAGGGAUCAGCGAGGAAGAAGACAGCGUUUUUCCUUUUCUUUUUCUUUUUGCUUUCACAUCACUCACCUAUCUCUCUCUCACGUCACUUUCUCCGACUCUUCUUCUCUGCUUUCACCUCUUUUUUUUUACUUUUUCCUUCUUUUCUCUCUCACCUGACACUCUCUCUCUCACUUGUCUCUCUCACCCUCUAUCGAAGACUUCCCCCAUUAACUUUCUGCCACUGAACUUCUUCUCUUUUCUCUUCAAUUUGCUAUUUUUUGGACGAACCAUCAAGAGAAGCCCCCCCAGUUUCGAAAACUUGCCCUCUUUUAUAGAGGAAAGACUCAAAAUCGUUGAAGAUUUCCCGAUAUCUACUCAUCUUCUCAACAAAAAAUGGCUCCAAAAAUCAAAUGGUUAAUUUUUUUAAAUUUUUGAAAUGAGAAUAUAUUUUCAACAACAAAGAUUUUCAAAAAUCGAAUUUUGUUUAAUUUAUUAUUUUUUUAAAUAUUAGGUGUCAACACUACCAAAUGAAGAAUACAUUUACAGGAUGACUAUCUAAAGUAGAAAAAUAUCAAUCACAAUCAAUUGGAAUCAAUUAAGAAAAAUAUACAAAAACCCCCUAAAUUAAUUACAAUCAAUUGGAAUCAAUUAUUUUCUCAUGUCUAAGUUUAUUAGUUUUCAUUUAUUAGUUUUCAUUUAAUCACAUGUAUAUUGUUUGAUCGUCGAGGAACANNNNNNNNNNNNNNNNNNNNNNNNNNNNNNNNNNNNNNNNNNNNNNNNNNNNNNNNNNNNNNNNNNNNNNNNNNNNNNNNNNNNNNNNNNNNNNNNNNNNAUGUUCAUGGGACCCCAUGGCACCCGCCCACGAACAUCCACUGACCAACUGAAGCCAACCUAUGAGCAUUGUCCAACACUUAUAUUUUCUCGUGCACUGACAACUAAUGCUUUCUGUUGUUACUGAUCAAAACAGUAAACAAAAAAAUAGAAAACCAAAAGCUAUAUUUUUCAGAUGAGGAAGAGAAGCGCAGAGAAACAGAAUACAAACUUGCAUACGUCUGUUCUAAAGGAAAUUGUCAAGUACAGGACAACUUAAACAAAGCAAAAACUGCUCACGUACGUGCAACACAUAACUACACACAAACGUGCUAUUAACUUCCUAGAAAAUAACAAAAGGACUAAAUAAAUAACUAAAUUGAACUUGGCUUUUUUUUUAAUAUAAAAAAACAGAGGAAAACAGAGUAAAAAAACAGAACAAAAAAGAAGAAAAAGAAACAUAAAAUAGCAACUAAGACAUUAUUAAUCCAACAAACUCCUCCUUAGAUCAGUUGCUGCUGCAUACUCCAAUUUUCUUUCUUAAUACUUCAAAUCUUCCAGCUUGAAGUGGUUUUGUGAACAUAUCUGCAAGUUGAUCUUCAGAUCUGCAAUAGACCAAUUUAACUUUGCCACUUUGUUGCACCUCACGCAGAAAGAAAAAUUUAACUUUGAAAUGCUUGGUUUUGCCAUGGAAAACUGGAUUCUGAGAUAUUGCUAACGCAGCCUGAUUAUCCACAUUAACUUCAAUGCAAUUACUGGAAUUCAACCACAAAUCCUUCAUUAUCUUCUUCAGCCACAAAGCUUGAUUUGCAGCUACGGUAGCUGCUAUAAACUCAGCCUCUGCAGUAGACUGAGCUACAAUCUCUUGCUUUUGGAACACCAAGAGAAACAAGCAGAACCAAAACUGAAACAAUAUCCAGACGUACUCUUCAUGUCAUCUACUGAACCAGCCCAGUCACUAUCAGAAAAUCCUUGCAAAUUAAACUUCUGACCUUUCUUAAACUUCACACCAAAGAACAAUGUUCUUUUGAGAUAUCUCAAUACCCUUUUUGCUGCAAUCAAAUGUAACUGACUAGGACUACUCAUAAACCUGGAUAAAACACUCACAACAAAUAGAAUAUCUGGUCUAGUUGCUGUAAGAUACAUGAGACACCCAAUCAGACUUCUAUACAUAGAAGCAUCUACUACAUCUGUUCCAUCAUUCUUCUGCAGCUUCUCUUUAGCAACCAUAGGAGUGCUUACAUUUUGACAAUCUUCCAUCUGAAACUUCUUUAGAAUUUCCUUCAUGUAUUUUUUCUGACAGAUGAAGAUCUCAUAUGAAGCCUGUUUGACAUCCAAACCCAAAAAAUAAGCCAUCUUUCCCAAGUCUGACAUCUCAAAAACUGCAAAUAAAUCUUGCUUCACCUUCUCUAUCAAUUCCAUAUCAUUCCCUGUCACUAAUAGAUCAUCUACAUAAAGUGACAGAAUUACAAUACUGUGAUUCACCUUCUUGACAUAAAGAGUGAACUCACUUAAGCUUUUCACAAAGCCAAAAUCUUGCAAAUAUCGAUCUAUCUUCCCAUACCAAGCUCUUGGAGCCUGCUUCAGUCCAUAUAGAGCUUUCUUCAGCCUGUAUACACUAUCUUCUUGCCCUUUGAUACUAAAGCCUUUAGGUUGUUCAACAAAAAUUUCCUCAUCAAGCUCUCCAUUCAGAAAUGCAGACUUGACAUCUAACUGAAAUAUAGGCCACCCAUUCUCUGCUGCAAUAGCUAACAGUAGCCUUAUUGUAUCAAGUUGUGCAACAGGAGCAAAUGUUUCAGAAUAGUCUACUCACCAUAUUUAUGCAUAGCCUUUCACCACCAGUCUAGCUUUGUAUUUAUUAACAGAACCAUCAUGAUUAAGUUUUGUUCUAAACACCCACUUAACCCCAAUCACAUUCUUAUCAGAUGGUCUGUCAACAAGCUCCCAUGUGUGGUUUUUCUGGAUCAUUGAAAUCUCCUCCUGCAUUGCUGCAAUCCACCUCUGAUCCUCCUUAGCUUCCACAAAGUUAGAUGGUUCGAGCAUUGCCACAUUGCUUCUUUCAUAGAUUUCAGCAAGUGACCUUGUGCCUCUCACUGGUAAAUCAUCAACACUGUCUUCCAAUCCAUCUAUAACUUUAUCAACUUCUACAUCUGUUGCAGGUUGUUUUUUGAACUGUUGCUGUUUUGCACUCUUUUCUUCCAUCCAAUUCCACUCAUCUUCCUCUAGAAAAACAACAUCUCUGCUUACAGUCACNNNNNNNNNNNNNNNNNNNNNNNNNNNNNNNNNNNNNNNNNNNNNNNNNNNNNNNNNNNNNNNNNNNNNNNNNNNNNNNNNNNNNNNNNNNNNNNNNNNNNNNNNNNNNNNAUGAGUGUAACACAAACACCCAAAAACCUUCAAAUUUUUCACAGAAAGUUUAACACCAUACCAGACUUCAAAAGGUGUUGACCUCUCUAAGGCUUUUGUAGGUAAUCUGUUCAACAGGAACACUGCAGUAUUAGCUGCUUCAGCCCAGAACUUCUUAGGCAACAUCUUCUCCUGCAUCAUACAUCUGGCCAUCUCCAUAAUACUUCUAUUUUUCCUCUCACUGACACCAUUCUGUUGAGGUGAAUAGGGAGCAGUGAAUUGCUGCACAAUUCCUGCUUGCUCACAAUUCAACUUAAACUUGUGAGCAGUAUACUCAGAACCAUUAUCAGACCUGAGCAUUUUAAUUUUCUUCCCACUCUGAUUCUCAACUAAGGCUUUAAACUUCACAAACACAUCAGCAACUUCAGACUUGGCUUGCAGAAAAUAAAUCCAACUCAUCCUAGUCAUAUCAUCAGUGAAGGUAAUGAAAUACCUGCUACCAUUGAGAGAAGACUCAGACAUAGGUCCACAUAAAUCUGUGUGGACUAAUUGUAGCUUCUCACAUGCUCUCCAGCCUCCUCCUUUGAAAGGAAAUCUGGCUUGCUUGCCAAGAAGACAAGUUUUGCACUGUGGAAAUUCCUCCUCCAAACUUGGCAAGUCAUCUGCCAAGCUAUUUCUCUGCAUAAACAACAUGCUCUUCCUGUGAACAUGCCCAAGUCUUUUAUGCCAUAUCUCUGCAUUUUCUUCUUUGCAUUUUAAAGCCAUUUGUUGCAUCUCUUGUGACUUGAACAUGAAACUCUUGUCCUCCAUUGGAAUUCUUAGCACUUCUUUGCUAUCUGCAUUAUUAAUAAGACAUUCAUUCCCUUCGAAUUUCACUUUAUAGCCAUUCUCAACUAAUUGACCAACACUUAACAAAUUAUGGUCAAUAUUUGGCACAAAGAGAACAUCACUAAUCAGCUUCACCUCAUUAUUUCCUUCAAUAGCCACUGUACCCUUCCCUUGCACUUCGAUAUACUGUCCAUUGCCAAUUCUGACUCUAGACCUGACUGACCUGUCUAGACUCCUAAACAGCUUCGAAUUGCCAGUCAUAUGAUUGGUACAGCCACUAUCCACCAGCCAUACAUCAUUCCCAACAGAAGAUUCAGAAAAAGAAGCUACAAAUAAGUGCUCUUCCUUAGUUUCAUUCACUGCUACCUGGGCUUUUCCUGCUUGCUGGUAAUUUUUUUCUUUGCAGAUGGCUUCCAUAUGACCCAACUUGUGACAUCUUCUGCAUCUAGCAUCAGGCUUUCUCCAACAUCUAAAAAACUGAUGAUUAGUUCCACCACAGUAUUGACAAGGCUUUUUGUUCAUCUUCCAUUUGCUAGACCCACCAGAAUUUCCUUCUUUUCCUACAAACUUGGAGUCACCAACAUUUUCUCUAGACUGAAUCCAUUUCUUCCCUUUGCCUCCAUCAUUUGACUUCACUCUAGCUUGCAGCGCACCCUCUACAAACUUUUCUCUUCUCAUCAGUCUUCUGUGCUCCUGCGCCUGCAAAGCAUUCAACAAUUCUGCAAGCUUUNNNNNNNNNNNNNNNNNNNNNNNNNNNNNNNNNNNNNNNNNNNNNNNNNNNNNNNNNNNNNNNNNNNNNNNNNNNNNNNNNNNNNNNNNNNNNNNNNNNNNNNNNNNNNNNNNNNNNNNNNNNNNNNNNNNNNNNNNNNNNNNNNNNNNNNNNNNNNNNNNNNNNNNNNNNNNNNNNNNNNNNNNNNNNNNNNNNNNNNNNNNNNNNNNNNNNNNNNNNNNNNNNNNNNNNNNNNNNNNNNNNNNNNNNNNNNNNNNNNNNNNNNNNNNNNNNNNNNNNNNNNNNNNNNNNNNNNNNNNNNNNNNNNNNNNNNNNNNNNNNNNNNNNNNNNNNNNNNNNNNNNNNNNNNNNNNNNNNNNNNNNNNNNNNNNNNNNNNNNNNNNNNNNNNNNNNNNNNNNNNNNNNNNNNNNNNNNNNNNNNNNNNNNNNNNNNNNNNNNNNNNNNNNNNNCACAGAUCAUGACCCUCCAAAAAUGCUGUCAUCUUGACAGCCCAUGCUUGAUAAUUCUCUCCAGUAAAUACUGGAGAAGCCAUCGCAGAGAAACCACUCAACCCUGUCUCCAUCACCCUUUAACUUCUUUACACUUCGAUACUUGCUUCACUUCACAGUCCCUCAAGAUCAUACACGCUCUGAUACCACUGUUGUUACUGAUCAAAACAGUAAACAAAAAAAUAGAAAACCAGAAGCUAUAUUUUUCAGAUGAGGAAGAGAAGCGCAGAGAAACAGAACACAAACUUGCAUACGUCUGUUCUAAAGGAAAUUGUCAAGUACAGGACAACUUAAACAAAGCAAAAACUGCUCACGUACGUGCAACACAUAACUGCACACAAACGUGUUAUUAACUUCCUAGAAAAUAACAAAAACACUAAAUAAAUAACUAAAUUGAACUUGGCUGUUUUUUAAUAAAAAAAAUAGAGGAAAACAGAGUAAAAAAACAAGUCAAAAAAAAAAAAAAACAUAAAACAGCAACUGAGACAUUAUUAAUCCAACACUUUCACUAUUUCAGUAUUGUUCAAUCAAAUGCUAAAUGCUAACUGCUUAAGCCUGAAGCCUGCAUUGCUAUGGCCUGUGAAGCAGAGAAGAAAUGGGAAAUAAAGGUUAGUGCCCGAGUGAGAGGCUCCAGUCCGGACUAGAUAUGGCCACUUCUGCAGGAUUUUUUCAACCUCCACAAGUGGCUCUCCCCAUGAUAGAUGUGUGCUACGGAGUUGGAGGCGUAUCGGGUCAGCCUGGCUGCAUACGAUAUUCUGCUGUCAUGAAAAUCUCCAAGGACGGUUCGGAGGAGACGGUCACCAACUGGGCUCUGGAGAAGCUGCUCACUAUCAAUCCUGUCAACAAAAGCUUCAGCUAUGAGAUCGUGGAUAGUAAUAUGAAUGGGUUCAAAUCUUUAGUGGCAACAACUGAACUCACACAAGUGAAAGAUGCUGAAAAAGAAGCAACCGCUAUAACUUGGUCCUUUGUUGCAAAUCCAAUUGAAGGAUGGACUGAGAAAGGUCUGACUGAGUUCUAUGGUUCUGCUCUCCAACGCAUGGCAGAAAGAAUGGAGGCUGCUCUAUCCACACAAGGGGCAUAAAUCUCACUUGUCAAGUUUGUCUUUCUUGUACAAAUGCAUUGAUAGGAUAUUUCCAAUAAUCUGGGCAACUGUGAAAGAGCGCAGCUCAACAAGUUGCACACCUUCUGUAUCCAACGGCGGAAAGUCACCUACGCAGUGCAAUUAAAUUCCAGUCUCUUCCAAAGUGUUCCUGUUAUAUUCCAUUACCACAAAAUACCACACAGAAGAAACUUGACUUGAAAAAUAGUAACUUCGUCCCUACUUACAAGAAUUCUAAUCUGAAAUUGAAUGGCUCCAUGUAUCAACCUUCAAUGUUAUUUUGCAAUUCAACAGACACUUUAGUCCUUCUGCAGAGAGGGAAGAACUUUUUCUAGUAAUAUGUGAGCCUAGAAGCCAGUUCUGAUACAAAUAUUGUGUUUUCCAACUUAUAUACAUGUGCAAUAGCAUGAUUGGAGAUGUGUCAUCUGGCUGUUAACCAAAUGAUCGGAGGAACAUUGUCUGUAACAGUCAUCUCUUCAAUUAUAUUAAUUGAUGGUCUGCAAGGGAGAUAACUAACUGAUAGCUGUAAAUUCCUCUUCUGAUACCAUCCAGAAUGAAUUGACUGUAAACCGGGACCAACAGAUCUGCCAGGAGGAAGAUGACUCAUCUGACAGAAUGGGCUCUAGAAAAUAGGCAUCGUGUCCAGAUCUUAUAAAGCAAGAAUCUGGAAAAGGUGCUUCAUUCAAGCAUUCUGGGGUAGCCGGCAAGUCAGUGAAGUUAAUGUCCCCCACUCCUUUUCUCUUUUCAUUGGAAGAAAGAGGCAAUAUUGGAAUUAAUUGUAGCUUGAAAGCCAAAAUAGUGAGCUAAUACAUCAAUUGAUUCUCAUAAUAAAUAAGAACAGACGCGAAAGGUGAGUGCUAUUAAUAAAUCUGAAAGAGCUGCAAAUAAAAUAAUUGAAGCAGUUAAUAUGGAAGAGACAAAAAGAAUGUCCUAUAGAGCAGACUGAAACUAUGAGCAACCUGCCAUAAGAAACCUUGCCGCUUUUCUCCACUAAAUUCAUCAGAUUUCCAGUCUCUGCCUUGUCUGAAGCAGCUCACAUACUAUUAGCACUGUGAACAUCAAUUCAUUAAUGCAUCAUGCAUGGUCCCUUCAUAGCUUCUUAUCUGAUGUGAUCGACUCAUUUAAUGCUUUUCCCAGUAAGAGAAAACCCAAAAGAACCUAUCCUUGAUACGGUACCUCACCAAGAUGUGCUCAUGAAUUCGUUUCCUUCUUAUUAAGUUUGAAUAAAAUCAGCUAGCCACUAUCGCAUUGCUGGCUCUUGUAAUACAAGGGCAAAAAAAGAUUUUCCUCCAAACCGCACAAAAACUUUCAUCACUAUGGCUUUCCAAAGAAGAAAAGGACACUUGUGAAGAUUGUGGGAACUAAACUUUGAAAAUUCCAGGGUGUCGUCAACUAACCACUAUUUCGCAUAGUUAUGAAAACUGAGAACUUCAAUCUAUCAACUAUCAUUCUGAAUUUAAUGCCAAGCUAUAACCUGGAAGCUUAGCAAGUCUUCUCUGCUUCAUCACCACUCUCAUUUCCUCCACUUCUUUCCACAUACCUCUGCUGGCAUAAAUAUUAGAUAAUACCACAUAAACACCGUUGUUCCACGGUUCCAACUCUUGCAAAUGCUUAGCCACCCAUUCACCAAUUUCCACGUUCUCGUGCUUCUCACAAGCACCCAACAGACAUCCAUAAAUAAUCGAAUUUGCCUUCAUCGGCAUCCCUUCCACCAUUUCUUUAGCCUCAUCAAACCUUCCAGCUCGACCAAACAGAUCAACCAUGCAACCAUAAUGCUGUAAACGAGGCCUUAUUCCAUAAUAUUUCUGCAUCAUAUCAAAGUAACGUUUUCCCUCUUGCACCAUCCCUCCAUGUACGCAAGCACUAAGUACUCCAACAAAGGUCACAAAAUUAGGCUUCACGCCAGCCUCCCUCAUGCAACGGAAGCAUUCAAGAGCAUCACUUACCAGCCGGUGCAUCGCAUAACCCACGAUCAUAGAAGUCCAGGAUGAUACGUUUCUUUCCUCCAUCCCAAGGAAAACUUUGUAUGCUAAGUCCAUCCGACAACAUUUACCGUACAGGUCAAUAAGGGAGUUGAACAUCAAAAUAUCGGCUUUCUCACUAUUUUUAGCCUGAAAAACAUAUUUGUGCAAUUGAAGUGCCAAAUCUAGGUCCCCAAUGCUUCCACAAGCCGAUGUUACACUGACCAAAGUCACGUCAUCCAACACGAAACCACUUCUCCGCAUCUCUAUAAACAGGUCGAUAGCUUCCCUGGACCGCUCACCUUGGGCAAGACCUGCUAUCAUGGCAUUCCAAGAACCCAACUUUCUGUCAGCAUUUUCAUCAAACGCCUUGCGCGCAUCACCGAAAUCUCCCGCCUUGGCGUACAAACUGAUGAACCCGCUCUCGCAGAACUCAUUACGCUCCAACCCAUGUUUCACGGCGACACCAUGGACCUGCCUGCCGGCUUCAAAAUCGAAAGAUUGGCACACCGCCUUCAAGACAAUCGGAAGAGUGUAAGAACCGGCGGAACGCCCGCCCUCGCCAUGAACACGUACACGAGCAGCGCCUUUCUCGGGGCGUCUAGCCUCGUGUACGCUCUUAUGAUGUUGUUCUAGUGAAAUGCGACGGGAUUCGAGUCCAACAAGCGGGAGCGGAUCACGUGGGCGUGUAUCCGGCUCAACCCUCGCCUGUCAUCGCAUUCGGACAAGAGGGUCGCCACCAUCUUGGCGUGGGCUUGGGUCGAGCUCGGCGAAUCGGGCUGCUGUCGAGAUUGCGCGAGGAGGGAAGCGACGGAAGACGCAUUGGCUUCGUGGGUGCCACCGUGAUCGAGAGCGCAAGAGGUCCAGAGCCGUCUUCUUGAGGUGAAGUUGGAGAGCCCACGUCGAAGGUGGCGAAACGAGAUCACGCGCUACACGAUUUCAGCGCGCAGCUCUCGAGUCGAUCAAAGCAACGAUCGCCGCAAGGAAAACACGAUCGGCAACGUUUGCUAUUGCUCCUAGAAACAUUUCCAGUACAGUCACGACAACCCCGCCUUUGUCGUUAACUUUCUGACAUGAGCAUGCGUCGCGCGCAUAAUUUUCAGAAGCGAGAUUCGCUGGGUAUGCUGCGACGUUUGCCCGUUCGGGUUCGAUCACGUCAAAGGUCUUGUCCAGUUGUCUGAACCAGGGAGCGGGAUAAUUGCACGUGUCUGUUUUCGCUCCAGAGCGAAAUCUUUGUACUGGAUUUUUCAUUUCGAAAGUAUAAGACGAUUAUUAUACUUACUAGAAAUUUAUGGAUUAAAAGGUGAUUUACAACACUAAAACCUACUUUGCUAAUAUAAAACAUGAUCCGUGGACUUUAUUUGACAUCUAUGACGCAACAAGUUAAUUCCCGAACCUUCGUUUCAAUUCAAAGUGCUCAUUUUAAAUAUAGAUUAUAUUGCUUCCUAUAAGGUAACGAUUUUGUCUUAAGAGAUGCUUAUUCCUUUUAACAAUGUUGUAAUUUUGCAUUAAAAGUCAUACUUUAUAGUUCUUCCCCUUUUUGAUAUAACUCCAACAAAUUGCAAUUCGACCAAUUUUGUUGUAAUUUAAUUUUUAGAGUUCAUAACACCAGUCAAUAAUCUUGAAAUAGUCAUUUAUCUUAAAUUAUCGUAAGAGAAAUGAACUUCUCAUUGAGGCUCAAUAAUCAUCAGUUACUUUACAUUCGGUGACUUCUAAAUAUUCUCACUAGUUUUUUUUUUUUUUUUUUUUGCCGAAUGAUAAUAAUUCCAUUACUAGCCCAUAAAAGGGGGCACCAUUAGAUGGAAAGUCCAUACAUAAGAUAGAAAUUAGAGGCUGAGGAAGAAAUAAAACCCAAUUAAGUAUCUGAAAUACGUUGGUGAAGUUUUGGGCUUUGGUCAUUGCCAUUUGCCAUACCUACAGAGGAAUGCCAUAUCUCCUCUUGCUGUUGGGGGUGGCUUCGUCACCGUUCAGGUCGACCGGUCAUCAUGGCCAUGAGAAGCCCCGAUCAGAGAUGAAAUGAGGAGGAGGAGGGAGAUUGAUGGUGGUGAGGAUGGAGUUGGUAUCACUAUGGAUAGAGAAAGAUUCUUUCCACCUAAAUUUUGGGCCAAGCCUGGUCUCUCGAACAUAGCCCAAAAAUUUGAAGAUAUUGUUAUUGUAAACAGACCUAUUAAAAUAUUGUUGAUGUAUAAAAUAGAUGCAGGAGAACAUUUUUCUUCUCUACAGUGGAGCAUUUUUAUAGUUUGGAGUGUGAUUUGUUUAUUAAUCAAAAGUUUGGAACCUGAGAGAAAGAUCUCCAGGAGCUUGAAAGAUUUUAUGAUUGUUUUAAAAACUUAAACUUAUAGAUGGAGGAAAAUCAUAUAUAUAGAGAUCAUAUAAACCCAUAAUCAAGAAACGUGGGAUGAUAAAACAAUUACUGACGUACAAGCCAAAUUAGGAAGGGCCCGUGGAAUUUUACAAAUGGGGGAAAUAAUCUGGGCAAAACUCAACUCUAAUAUCAUGUUAGGUUUGUUGGAACUGUUUUUGAGCUUUUAAGUAGGUCUUUCAAAUAUGAUGAUAUCUCGUCCAUCCUCAUUCCUUUUACAAUCAUGGACAACCAAUGCACCAGCUUUCCUUGAUCCUCUUUUCGAUAGCUAUGGCUAGGAAUCUGUCCAUACCGCUAAAUGCUAUUAGUGUCCUCUACUGGAGGUGAAACACUAUCAUGUUGCCUGACGCUUACGUUUGGUCCUUGCCAUACUUACAGAGGAAUGCUAUGUCUCCUUUGUAGUGCGUGACGGUCACACACUUGCCGUUGCGGGUGCCUUCAUCGUCGUUCAAGCCGGCCAGCCGUCAUGGGCAUAAGAAGCCCUGAUCAGAGAUGAAAUGAGGAGGAGAGAGACAGGUGGCGAUGGGGAUGGAUUUGGUAUCGGUGUGGACAGAGAGAGAUUCUUUCCGCCUAACUUUUGGGCCAAGCCUGGUCCCUUGAACAUAGCCCAAAAUUUGAAGGUAUUGUUGUCACAAGAGACGUAUUAAAGUAUUGUUGAUGUAAAAAAGAGACGCAAGAGAAUAUUUUGUUCCCUACAUUAGAGCAUUUUUAUAAUUUGGAGUGUAAUUUAUAUAUUAAUCAAAGGUUUGGAACUCGAGAAAAAGAUCUCCAGGAGCUUGAAAGAUUUUGUGAUAUCAAUACCAACUGUUACAAAAAAUUAAACUUAUAAAUGGAGGAAGAGAGCAUAUGAACCGUAGUCAAAGGAUGGGGAUAAUAAAAGACCCACUGGUGUACAGGUUGAAUUAGGAAGGGUAUGUGGAAUUUUAUGAAUGGGGGAAAUAAUCUGAGUGUAGAAUCCAGCUCUAACAUCAUGUUAGGUUUUGUGAGACUACUGUCGAGCUUUUAAGUUGGUCUUUCUAACAUAGUAUCUCGUGCAUCCUCUUACUUCUACAAUCAUGGAGAACCAAUGCACCAUCUUUUGUCGAUCCUCUUCUGAAAGCUAUGGUUAGGAAUCUGUCCACAGCACGAAUGGUAUUAGUGUCCUCUAUUGGUUGGAUCAGAGGUGAACACUAUCAUGGUGCCUAUCACUUACGUGAAAGGUGUUUCCUCUCUCUUUGUUAGUCGACUACCAUAUAAUUUGGUCGAUUUCCUCUCUCGCAUUUAGUCCGUGACGAUUGGUCAGAUCUUAAGAUGAAAAUUUAAAAUUAUACCCACCCAACCCACGUCUCUCUCCUUGACAUAGCUUGGGAGAGAUCGUUCUCAUGAGAUGACCUUACAUGCGAUGAAACUGGUGCGGAAGUGACCCCAACAUGUCCAUAUCUUUAAGGAUUUGAUAGACUCCAUGUGAGAUUUUUUAGACUAUAGUGUUUAGAUAUUUAUGUGGGAUUCUCAUCCUAUGUGUGAGUGCUAUGUUCACAUUGAUUAUUCAAUCUUACCUCCCAUGUUUUUGACAUGAUAUAUUUUAAGCCCACUUUGUAUAAAAAAAAUAACGUUGACAUUUAACAUAAGAUUUGAUUUAAUAUAUUGGAUGACAAAUGAGAGUCUUGUAUACAUAUGAUUCUGCUAGUUGAUUCAAUAUGUUAGAAUAUUUGUUAGAACAUUCUGAAACUGUAAUUGAUUAUGUAAUUCUUGUUAUUUUCUAAAAUAACUAGUUUUUUUUUGUUAUAUUAAAUUAAUUAUAUACACAUUGUUCUUAGUAUAAAUAUCCCUUGAUUGUAACACAUUAGUGUCAAGUAAUACAGUACUUUUUUUUAAUUAUUAUUUAUCAGAGUCAAUCUUUUGGUCUCAGACUUUGUGUGAACUCAAGUUCUAAUAUGGGGACUCUUUCACAUUUUUGUCCGCAUAGAGCUGUGCUGUUUAUUCGUGUCACCAUCGCAGCAUCUAUCCUCGUCCAUUGUCAACAGUUAUUGCCCUCGUCCCUCAUUCGGGUGCUUUAUCCGCACCCACCACCAACACGUCUUCAAGGCUUAGAGUAGUCGCCGUCGAGUUACAACGCGGUACACCUCGAAAAUCCACUCAGAUUUUAUUGAGCAGUCCUAUCCUAGGACCUCAGUAUCCUAUCUCCCAAUCCAGACUACUCUUCAAACAUUGUUGGUGAAUCAGCUUCAAUGUCGAGUAAGCAAAUCACUGAUUAAGUAAGUAAUUAUAUUCUCUACGGAUCCUAAAUAUAAUUAAUAAUGGAUCAGAAAUAUGCUAUUCGAUGAUACAUACAAUAUAGCUAACUCUAUCAUACACAGACGAUCGCACCAAUUGAGGUGCCCUCCAUGUAGCACUUUAUUCUAAUAAGGUUCAAAAAGUGGUUCCCAAGGUGUAGCACUUUAUCCCAUGAUAAGUUCCCACCAUGCACAACUAAUAGUUUAAAUUCGAUACACCUAAUGCCAUUCAAUUGCAUAUCUCAUAUUUGAUAUCUACACACAAACCGAUCCGGUUUACAUAUAAAAUAUAAAUAUAUCAUUGACAAAUACUAAGGAGGGGGUGAACAGGUUGCACCACAUAGAGUGGAGAUAACAGUUAGAAAAGUAGCUUCGAAUGGACUAAUGGCUCAUUCUCGAUCAUACAAUACAACCUCGUACCUUUUCCUAGUCCUCCGAAAAAAUCAUGCCUCAUGCUCUUCGCUUUAUGAAAGCGUUUAUGGCGUGUGAGGCCAAAGUAAUGACGCGACAUGUGCCCCCCUUCAACUGUCUUCAUUAGUGCGAUUCUCGAACAAACACCGAAGACGACAUUUCUCGACUCAGUGGAUGACACUGUGCCAAGAAGACAUGUGAUGUGAUCAUCGUGCAACGGUUUUAUCCGAUUCACUUCAUUAAUGAUUUACCAAAUUCCCAUAGACUGAGUUGAAAUAUAUCGAAAUUAGGCCCUAUCUAUUUUGCUGAAAAUAAAUAAUUUAAAUAUAUUUUCAUAAAAACGAUCACUUAUAUCAUUUGAAAUAAUUAGUUAAUAAAAAUAUUUUUAUCAUCAAUAAUCAUUUAUGUUUAAAUAUUUUCGUCAAUGAAUGAAAAAAAAAUUCAUCUAUUUAUUUGUGUGAGCAAAAUAAACAAUUAAAAAAUAUUUUCAAGUGGGCAGAGGUUUUACCAUAAUUCACAUAUUUCUUGAAAAUAGAAAGCAACAAUCGUUCUUAAAAAAUAACUAACUUUUGUCAUUUCCAAUUUUCCAGUCCCAUUUUGGGGAUUUGAUAUUUAGUAAAUGAUAAUCACUACACAAGCAAGACACACUGUGUUCAAGAUGAUAAGUGUAACUUGAUAUAUUUUGAAAGCCCAUUUGGCUCCCAUGGUAUGAAUUUGAAUUAUUAAUUCCAUAGCCAUACAAGUAAUGGAAAGCAAACAUAGUCCAAUGAGAAAAUCGUUGUAUUAUGUGGGACCCAAUUAGACUUGGAUGCUUUACCAGGAAAAUGACACAAAUGGUGUCACAACUUUAAUUCGAUGUGCAAUACCAUCUGUGAACCUUUUAUAUAUGUAAUCUGGUUUUUGAAUUUUGGCCCAAUGAGCAAUGCCGUCCUUGCAUUUAGAGCUGUCAAAUGGUCAUUAACCCACUUCUGAAAUAUUAGUAGUGUUCAUUUUAUUCCUUAGGCCAUGUGAAACCGAUAAAAACAAAAAGACUGCAUUGAACAUUUUACAAAUAAUUCAAUGAUCAUAUUGAAUAGAUUAAAAGUGUUGUGACAAAAUUACAUAUUUGAUCAAAAUUUAGUGAUCAUUAAAUCAAAAUUCAUGGAUUUGUGAUAUUAUUCUUUUAAGGCUAAGGCAAUCUGCAACCACACUAGCAAAAUAUAUGAUGGAAUUUCAAAUGCAUGUUUAACAUAUGUUAUCCAUUGUUUCACAUGUGGUCCCGAUUGGAGUGCAUUGGCCCGUCAUUUUCAGGACGUUAUCGGAAUUAAUUGGACUCUCGUAUGAACGCCAACUCACAAUGGAUGACCCAUGACAACCGAUGGAAAGGGGAAUGACACAAUGAAAUGUCAUAUGCUAAGUUUUGUCUGCAUAAAUGAAAAAAAAAAAAAAGCAAAAGCAAAAGCAAAAGCAAAGAGAGGAUUAUCAACUCAACAAAAGACAAGAUGUAAGGUGGUCUUAGUCUUAAUUCCAGAAAAUUAUCAAAUCAAUUUUAAAUUUAUUGUAUGGAUAUUAAAUCAGUUUUAAAUUUUGUAAUUUUAAUCCUUAACUUUUGCUUGAAAAUUCAAAUAUACUCUCUUCGUUCGAUUUUUGUAGGAAAUUACUGAUGUAGCAAUGUGUCACAUAAAAUAGUUGGUGAUGAGUGGACCAUGAUAUCAUCAAUUUUCAGUGAAAAUUGAUAGAAACGACCAUAAAUGUUUAAGACUAAGUUGGUAAUUUGAAAAAUUAAGGAUGAAUUAGCAUUCGUACAAUAUGUUUGUAAUUGAUUGGGAAUUUUCCUAUCUUAAUUCCCCACUUCAGUAUUUUUACCGUGCUAAAAGUAUGAAGUUAGGAGCAUUAGAAGUCCUUUGAAAAACACUAGAAGCAAAAUUAAGAAAUUAACAGUUGACACGUAAAUCAAAAGAUAUAAUGAUAAGUCCUAUAAAAUUUUACAUUGAAAAAAAUUCGUAUGAUUGGUAGGUGACACCUAAGUUGGAAGACCAUAAUUAGGUUGCAUCAGAAGAUAGAUUAUCACAAAAAAGGAAAUGCAUUAAACCAAGACAAACAAAGCUAUAACAAUUAAAUCCUAGCCAAGGGAAAACUACACCGAACUUAAACCUAAAUGCCUAUAAACUACACCGAACUUAAACCUACAUGCCUAUAAGGGGGUUAAGCGUAUAGUUAAUAGUUAGAUGCAACGUAGCAUUGUAACUACACGACUAAGAUAUAAAUAAGAGAGAACUUGCAAAAAUUAGAAUAUUCAUACUUAAAUUAUUACUUAAAAAGGAAAUGCAUUAAACCAGGACAAACAAAACUAUAACAAUUAAAUCCUAACAAAGGGAAAACUACACCGAACUUAAACCUACAUGCCUAUAAACUACACCGAACUUAAACCUACAUGCGUAUAAACUACACCGAACUUAAACCUACAUUCCUAUAAGGGGGUUAAGUGUAUAGUUAAUAGUUAGAUGCAAUGUAGCUUUUUACAUUGAAAAAAAUUCGUAUAAUUGGUAGGUGACACCUAAGUUGGAAGACUGUGAUUUGGUUGCGUCAGAAGAUAGAUUAUUAUAAAAAAAGGAAAUGCAUUAAACCAGGACAAACAAAGCUAUAACAAUUAAAUCCUAACCAAGGGAAAACUACACUGAACUUAAACCUACAUGCCUAUAAUGGGGUUAAGUGUAUAGUUAAUAGUUAGAUGCAAUGUAGCAUUGUAACUACACUACUAAGAUAUAAAUAAGAGAGAACUUGUUGCAAAAAUGAGAAUAUUCAUACUUAAAUUAUUAAUGAGGAAGAUAACUAAAAUCAAAUUCAGAUGCUAAUUAAAACUAAUCGGAAAAAAAACAGGAUAACUUAAUUGUGAUACUAUCUCAACCUCAAAUCCCAAUUGUAUUGAUAAACCACUGCCCAAAGAUAAUUUUGUUAAUUUAUUUGCUAAAACCCACUGUCCUGAGAUUAGGCACAUUAUUAAAAAGUAAAAAGAGGAGUGAGAUACAAGUUAUUACAUAGAAAACUACCAUGCAUUUCUUUCUUUUGUAGAUUAGGUUUAUAGGGCGUGGCUUCUUUUAGUUUCAUUAAAAGAGGAAGAUUGGGAAAAGUUUCGUAUUGGUACUAAUUUAGUCCAAAAUCUUUUAUUGACGCCAAUUUAAUUCUAAAUCUUUUAAUUUAAUGCCAAUUUAGUCUGUCUAGCUAAUUUUGUUGACCUAGACACCGGUUGGCUAAUGUGGCAUGGCCAGAGUGGACAAUUUUUAAUAAUAUUUUAAUAUAUUUGUCGAUUUUUUAAUUUUAUUUUUCCUUUCUUUUCCUUUCCUUUCAUUUUCCUUCUCUUCCCCUUACUCUAGCUAGUCACUGAACCUCAGCGAUCAAUUAGAGGUGAUAGCCAACAAGAUCGAGGUCAACCCCAUUGCUCUCUGGCAAGCCUCACUGGCCACUGGUGAUGCUCAACCUUAUCGGAUUUGGCUAGGUCGAGCUUCGCCCACGACCGGCAAAGGUGAGUCUUGCUAGCCUAGCACAAGGCCGCCAUUGCAGCUUGGAUGGCCUCGAGCUAGCCUUGCUAGAUUUUCCAAGGGCAAGCCUUGCCGCCAAGCACGAGGCUACCCUUGCGACCUUUGGCGAGGACUCGAGCCAGCAAUCGGUUGGAGGAAGGGGGAGGAGAAGGAAAAAAGAAAAAGGAAAAAGACAAAGAAAAUGAAAAGGAAAAAGAAAAAAGAAAAAAAUGAAAGAUAUUAAAAUAUUAUUAAAAAUUAUCAAUAUUUACUAAUUAGUGUUCACGUCAACCAAAAUUAGUCAAAAUGACUGAAUUGUCAUUAAGUCAAAAGAUUUAGGAUUAAAUUGACAUUAAUAAAAUGUUUAUGACUAAAUUGAUACUAAUACAAAAGUUUUAGGAUUUUUUUUUUACACUUUUCUCAAGGAAGAUUAGGGUGUGGGGGGGGGGGGGAGGGGAGGAAGAUUAGGUUAUACACAUGAUCAAUUGCCUCGUGGUGUAAUUAGGUGUUGAGAAAAUGUACAUGUGAGAUAUAAUUAGAAUCAUGUCAUUUAAUGUAUUUUUUAACCUUAAGGUGUGUUUGUUUCGAGGAAAAUUUUAUGACAAAGGAAAAUACUCUUUGGGAAAAUGUUUACCUCUUUUCAAGUUAAAGAAUUUAUUUUCCUAACUUUAAGCAUGCAUAUCUAUUUUAACCAUAAAUGAUUUUCCGUUGACAGAUUAUUUUUGGCAAACCAAAUACAUAAAUUGAUUCGCAAAAAAGUAUUUUGCUCAAACAAACACAUCUUACAAGGGAAAAUAUCAUGCUCUCACCAGACGAGCCAUGCUUUUAGCCUUAAGUUUGGUUUUUCAAACUAAUCGAUUAGAUGGUUUAGUGUCCCAUCGCGACUUGCUCUUCAAAAUUUGUCAAAAGAACUUUCACGCUUUCAGCAAAGAAAACGUGAUUCAUUCAUCUCUUUCCCGAGGUCACCAUAAUUUCGCGCAAGCACCGACGGAGGGUUGGAGGUCCCACAGUGCUCUUUUUCAACAGAAGCUACCAUCUUGAAAAAAGAAAAAGAAAAAGAAGAAAAGUCCAAAACUUGGUCUUCAAUCCCAACUAUAUCCUAAACAUUUUUCCUGUCUUAUAAAAAAAUUCCCAGACCAGUUUUUAUUCUAUCAUAAAUAAUUUUUUUUUAUAACCCAGGAAAUCUCAUAUAGCCAGUAGCCAACAGGCAAAUCCUGAGGCUGCACGAGGAAACCGCCACCUCGUGCAAGCGGUUAAGGCACCAAGCCCCUUCAUUAGGUUUCGAACCCUUCACCUUGAGAGCAAGAAUCAACGAGGCUUUAUCCAAUGGAGCCACCGCGGCGGGUGAUGUCAUAAACAUUUUUUGAUAUCAUAAAAAAACAUCAAAUUAAGUAUAAUCCCAAUUCUGUUCGAAACUUUUUUUUGUCUCAUAAAAAACUUCAACAGGUAGAGCCUUAUCAUGGCCAUGGGUACAUAGGAUAGUGCUAGGGUUAUCGUAUAUGAUGUAAGUUGUAAGGGAAAAUUACCAAAAAAUCAUAAAAUUAUAUCAAUUCAGUUCUAACCUUUUUUUUCGCCAAUUGAAUCAUAAAAAUUUUAAAUUUAUAUAAAUUCAAUUUAUCUGGUCAAUUUUGGUUAAUCGGUAUCAAUGUGGACAAUUUUUAUUGAUUAUUGAUUAUUUUCUCAUUUUUUUUUCUGUUUUUCUCUUUCUCUUUUUAAAAGAGAUUUAAAACUGAAUUGAUAUAAUUGCUCUCUCCCUCUAUAUAUAGACGCUCAUGUCUGUAGCUUAGAAACACAAGCUUUCACUAGCCUUCAUAUCUCUCUCUUGAUCUCAAUCUCAAUCUUGUGCAACUAGAUAUUAUUGUACCUCGCAUUAAUUUGGCAUUCCUCAGCAUGGAGUCCGCAAACAUCGAUCCUGUGGCUUCUGAGAUGAACCAAAACCAACCAAAAUGGCAAGGGCAAGCUUGUGCGGACUUGGCAGGUCCAAAGGCGGACCAUAUAUGGCCCUUCUUGGAGG
rnacentral:lncRNA from 1 species